AAAAAAAAAAAAAAAAAAAAAAAAGGUUGUUAUUCUUGGUUUGUUCUAUGAGUUUUCAUCACCUGUUGAUUCUUGAUGGAACAUUCUCAGAGGACAUAAUCACAACAGGAAUGUCUUUAAGUGAGUCAGAUUCCUACAAAAUCAGAUGGAAUUUUCUUUUUCAGAUUUUGUGUUUGGAAGGAGAUGGAGAAAGAAUAAAACAUUGCUUGGAAAGUGAAAACCCAACUAAUUAUUAAAAAAACAAAGCAUAUAUAUGUGUGUCUUGACUUGAAGAAGAAGAAGAAGAAGAAGAAGAAGAAGAAACUUGCCUUGAUCUUUCUGAGAAGAUCAAAGCCUGUCAUCUCUGGCAUACAAUAAUCUGUAAUGAUGAGAUUAACUUCAAUCUCCUGCAAUGCAAUAUCAAAAGCUAAAUUAAUCAAACAAUGCCUAAAAAAAACAAACAAACAUCCAAAUUAAGCUUGAAUAUAUAUAUGGUACUUGAUGAUGUUGACGAUGAUCUUCAGGGGAAAUAGGAGAACUGUGGUUGGUUCCAUUUCUUUCUCUAACCAAACCCAGAAGCUCUAAAGCUUUGCUUCCAGAAUCCACAACAGUAACUGUGAAAAAAAAAAAAAAAAAACAAAUCAAGCUUGUUAAAUCAAUCAUCUCUCAGCACAACCAAUGACUAAUUUCUAAGUGCGCUUGAAUUGAAAGAGAAAAAAAAACCCACUAAGGCUUUGGAAAGUCAUUCCAAUAUAGCUCUGAUUAUUAACAGUAUAAUCGAGGAGAAAAUUAUAAUUACAUUGCAGUAGUUCAUCCAAUAUCAUGUUAAACUUAGCCAAAAGAUUGGACAACAAUCAGCACAAGAUCCAGUAAUGGACUAACAAUAAUUUGGGAAAUUAAACCGCAGAGAAUUAUAGAGUAUAUAAAACUACGGAUGAACCCAAAUUAAAAGAUAAAAAGAAAAAAUGGAACAUAUAUAAAAAUCAGUCAAAGUUGUAGUGAAGAGCAGAAGAAGUAAGAAAAAGAGAGAGUUACCAUUGAAGGAGGAAGUUUUGAGGAGCCUUUCAAUGAGCUUCCUGUCAACAAGGCUGUCAUCAACAGCCAAAACAUGAAAGCGAGGCUGAUCAGAAGAGAGAAGGGACAUUAUAUUAAUAUAUAUCAAAGAAAGAAGAGGAAGGAAGAAGAAGAAGAAGAGGAAAGGGAAAUUUGGUGGGAAGGAGAAGAAGGAGAGAGGAUUUAUAAAUGAAAUGGGGAAGAAAGAAGAAGAGAUUGCGUGAGAAGAAGAUAUUAUUAUUAGAAUGAGGAAUUUGAGAUAUGGAGAAAUCCUUACAAAAUUUUGACAGUUUGGAAAGGAAGAUCCCACAGAUUUUGUUACAUAAUCUCUCUUUCUCUCCCCCCCCAACUCAAUCCAACCCAUAUAUUUUUCUUCUUUCAAUUCAUCAACAAAAUAGUAAAAUAAUUUCUUUUGGACUUUUUUCCAUUUGUGAUCAAUUAUUUUAUUCUUUGACUAUUUUAUAUGUUUUUUUAUUUCCUCUCAAAACUAAACUAUAUUAAUUAGUUGAGUUCAUUCAGAAAGUCUAUAUUUUGACAUGCAUAGUUGGAAUAACGAUCAACUUUGUCAAAUCCAAAUUUGAUUUGGAAUUGAAAAUCUUGAUGAUAAUACAAUGCAAUUGAAAUUCAAAAAUAAAAAAAUUGAUUAUGUCCAAAUCAAAUCAAGAGAAAUAGACUUUCUGUUUUAGUAUAGAAGGAAUAAUAAUAAUAAUAAAUACAUGUCAUUUCAUUUCAUUUCUUAUAUAUUUUACCCAAUCAUGAACUAUUAAUUACUUUAAUUUGAUGACACUAAUCCCUUCUGUUCCUUUUAAACUUUUAGGGUAAUUAAUCAUUAACUUGGGAUUUACAUUGAAAUCUAUCAUUAUUAUGGUUCAAUCAUAUAUCUUAUUUUCUACCAUAUUUAUAUUUAAUAUUUGGUGAUGGGUAGAACUUUGUGAUCCCUUUAAUCGAUCUUUAAGCACAUGCACUCGCCAUCCACAUUCUGAGCUCCAAUUUCAUUUGGAUUUUAUUUUCCCAAAUUAUUGAGAUUCUUCUGAUCAAUUUUAGAUUUUUAACAAUUCCUUUUUUCCAUUUUUCCAAAUUAGUUUUGCAUCCACAUAAAAACAAAUUUUAAUUCCUUUAACCAUAUCUCCAAAAAUAAUAUACGAAAUAAAAUCUCUGCCACCUCACGUUUAUUCAUCCACAUUUAUCUCUUUUCUUUAAAUAUAAAAUUAUAAAAUAAAAUUCAUGGAUUUCUUUUUCCACUUUAUAGUUUUACUUCAUAUAUAAUUAAAAUGAUUCAGAUGAACUUUGUAAUUUUUCUUUUAUAUAUAUAAUGUGGGCUAAAAUGUUCAUACUCAACUGGGGUGGUGAAUAAACUUUGAGACUCUCCAUCUAAAAAUGAAAGUCACCAUUUCAUUUAGUUUCACUAUAAAAAAAUGAUGAAGUGGAUAUCAAUUUUAUUAUUCUGCCUUCCUUCCAGUACCCUCUCUUUAAUUUGUACAAUUGAUUCCCCACACCUUAUCUUUUGUACCAUUAUUUACCUUUUUUCUAUCUCAAAGAACAUGUGUUUGAUUAUAAUAAUUUCCUCUUUCUUUCCCAAUAUCUUUUCUAUCUCUCCUUUUACAUCCAACACCCUUACAUUUCUAUUUUUAGAAAUCCACAUGUGAUGAAAUAUUGUGAUACAUAUAUUCUCAUUACCAUUGUUUUCAAAUAUAUCUAUUCCCUAAACUUUAUUGUAUCUAAUAAUUACAUCAUCUACUAACAAUAAUUGUAUCAAUUUGUUGAACUAUGAACUUUUUCAUAUAAGAGUGUUCGUUUACACCCGUCAACAUUGUAUCACACUUACAAUCAAAUCAAUUUAAACUUUUAAGCCUUUAUAUUUGAAUUAAUUUAGACUCCCAGUUAUGGUUAGGAUUUCCUAUGAAAAAUUUCUAAUCACCCAUUUUAUAAAGAAAAAUAUUUAGUACAUUUUUUACCAAAUUGUUCAUUCAAAACUUGUCAGGUAGAUGAUCCAAAGUUCAACCCAUUUCAAGUCUAUGAUGAAAAUUUAGGCAGAAGAAAAUAUGAGACCCAAGUCUAAUUUAAGCCCAAGCCCAAAAAUAUCAAUCAAAAGAGAUGAGAUCAUUUUUUUUCCACAUAAAGUUAAUAAUUCAUUGUUUUUAUUUUGAUUAAAUUACAAAUUCAGUCUCAAACUUUCAUGUCUGUGUUAAAUUGGAUAAUAACAUAGAAUAUAUUCAACAUUUUUCUUUUAUGAAAAAAUAAAUUUAUUCAAAACAACGAAAUUAAAAGUUCAAUAUUUUAUUACCGCAAAAGUUAACUAUAUAACUAUAUGUUUAAUAGAGACUAGAUUUCUAACCUAAUUAACAUUUUCUUUAUAUAUUAUCAUACUUUAUUUUUAAUAAUAAUAAUUUUAAAAAAAGGUUGUAAAUUAAUUAGUUAAUGGAUUUUGAUGACUACUAUUUUGUUUGCUUUAUCUUAUAAAUAUUUUUAAAAUUAAAUUAUGGAAGCAUUUACAUUUUAAGAAAACAUUCAUUUUUCUUUUAAACAAAGUAUAUUGUUGGAGGGCAAUGAAAUAAUAACACCCAAUUAUUCGUUGUUACUUCAAUUAAAUCUUAUAAUUAAUUUGGAAAAUAAGUCAACUAAGACUGCUAGAAGAUAAUUUAAAGCAUUUGAUGAGAGGAAUUGAAAUCAUAAUAGGUUUUUUUCUUCUUCUUCUUCUUAAUAAUAAUAAUAACAAUAAACAAGGGUUUCAUAUAUAUGCACAUGUAUUAUGUGGUUGAAUCUAAAAGAUCUUGGGAUAUAUAUGGUUUUAAUACCUAAGCCAUUCAAUCAAGAUAAGAUGAAUUAGCUUUUAUUCUUCCACUCAUGUCUUCCAUUGCUUUAAUAGAUAUGCAAUUCCUUCCAACUUAGGGGCUCUUCAGUAAAUUAAAUUACAUUUAAUAAUUAUGUCUCUCGUUUGGCUGCAACCAUUUAUAAUUUUAACAACUAAACUACAGCGUUGAAAAUUACGGUGUAAUCAAAACACUAUAAUUAAGUCAUUUUUUUAAUGGUGGAUUAUUAAAAGUCUAUUUUCCUAGCGGCCAAACUUUACCUCUAUAUUCUUUUAAGAAGGUACAGAAACGUCUAUUCUUAAGCCAUUGCAUUGCAAAUUGAUUUGACUGUGUUAAAAUGGAUGGAUAAAGGAGAAAAUUUUAAUUCUCCAUUUUUAUUUUUGUUAGGAAGGAAAUUUAUAUUAAAAAACGCCACACACAUGAAAAAAUUAGGAGAGUCACCCAUUGCAAUAAUUAAGAUCACAACUAUUGUCCACUCAAGAAACAAGGUCAGCCACAUAUCAAUAUUCAAACAACACACGGCCUACUUUGCUUAAGAACCACUUUUAUCAGCUCUACAACGUUAUAAAUGGAAGAGAGACAAAAAUUAAGAGAAAAGAAAAGGAAAAAAAUUGGACCCAUGUAGCGCUUUGCCAAUUGUCUAAUCUCUUCACCCUUUCACUUAUAUUAUAUAUGUGUGUGUGUGUGUGUGUGUGAGAGAGAGAGAGAGAGAGAGAGAGAGGUAGAUAUAAUAAAGCAAAUGUAUCAAAUAUAUAAAAAUGGUGUUUGUCUAAGAUUCAUACACAAAUAUGCAACCUAUAAUAUGGAUGCUAAUUAAUUUUUCGAUUAACCAGAAUUAUAUAAUGAUCACAUCCCAAUAAUUAGAGGAAGAAAAAACAUUCCAAUGACACAAACCAAUUAGGGACAUCUAAAUGAACUCAAACUCUACCAAUUAACUAGUAAGGAAAACAGAGAUUAUAAUUUAAUUAAAUAUAUUCUCUCUCUAAUAAUCAUAUCCUACAAUAUUAAUUAUUCUUCAAAUCAUAUCAUCCCCAUAGCAGCCAUUAAUAUUAUUACUGUUCUUCACAUCAUCAUCAUCACCACUAAUUGAUCGUCUAUUCCCUCCAGCUCUUUUGUACACAAACCCAUUGGCAAUCCAAACAUACCCACACAAAUUCAACGCGCUCAAUGCAGCCAAUACCCAGUAAAAGUAAUGUAGAUUUGAACGGUUCAGAUUGUCUUCCAGCCAUCUCCCCCCGCUCCCAGCCUGGACAACCGAGAUGAUCGCGCUGCUCAGGAAGUUUCCAACCCCGAUGAUGCUUAUGUAUGCCGCUGCACCUAAGCUCCUCAUGAAUUCGGGCAUUUGGUCGUAGAAAAGUUCUUGGAGACCGAUUAUGGCGAAGGCAUCCGACACACCGCACAGCAUGUACUGUGGGAUUAGCCACCAGAUCGUCAUUGGAACCGUUGCUUUUGGGGUGUCGCUGAGGCCAUGCUCGGCUGCAAUGGUUACCCUUUUGGCCUCUACCAAGGCGGACACGCCCAUGGUGAAGAUGGAGAUGAAUAGGCCCAUUCCUAUUCUUUGUAGCACUGUUAUGCCUGUGUGAGUAAGGUAAUAAAAAAAUCGAGUCUAAGUUUUGAAUCAAAAUACAUUUAUAAUUAAUGCGUCAAUUAACAAAACAUAACUUCAAAGGAUAGAUAUACUCAUUUCUUUUCAUUAUAUAUUAAUUGCACAAAUAUGUAUUUUAGCAGGUCAUAUUAGUUUUAGAAAUGACAAAAGAUAUAUGAAGUCAAAAGGUGAAUGUUAAAUUUAUAAAUUUAACGGCAAAGCAAAAAGAAUGAUAUAAAAUUAGAACUGUCCAUAAUCGAAUAAUUUAUAGAAGCAGUGUAACUUGUUUAAAAUUAUGAAUUUAGCAUAUAGUUUUAAUUUAUAGGAUUAGGUAGGCCUAUAAUUUAAAAAUCUAAAUUUGAUUCAUAUAGCUUGGACCCUAGUUGUAACUAGUUGGUCACUACCUACAUAAAUUUAGUCAUACCUCACAUGCGUUUUUUUUCCCAUUUUCAUGAUAGUGAACUCAUCCUUUCUAUUUGACUCACUAUAUAUACCAGUUUAUUUCUCUCCUCAUUGAGCAUUUACUAUGCUUGUUAAUAAUUGAUAUUAUAUCAAAUUUUAGGGAAGCGUUGAUUUUUUUUUUUAAAAAAAAAAUUGUAUUCUUAAUUAAAGCUAAGAUGUCAAAAGUAUUUGUAAAAUUUAACCAAAUCAUAGAAACCAAAACCAUACAAUCAAUCCAAAUUUGCAAUAUAUAUUCAAACACUGAAGAUUAAUUUUAUAUAUGAAAAAAAAAAAAAGUAGUUACCGGAGUGGUGGCCUGUAAAGUUUCUGGCGGCGGGGACAAAAACGCGGUCGUAGAAGAGGACGGUAAGAAGGAUGGUGAGGCCGACGACACCUUGAAGAGAUGCCGGCGGGAGCUGAAAGUGGGGGCCGACAGAGCGGAGCAUGGUCGAGCCUUGCUUCGUGAAGAAGGUAUGGAUCUGAGCUUGCACCACUGCAAACAUUAAGCAACUGACCCACACCGGAAUCAGCCGCACCACCAACUUUACCUCCUCCACCUCCUCCACCGUGCUCAGCCGCCAGGGGUCUCGCUUCUUCCUGGCCUCGUCCUCUUUGUCUAUCAACGUCGCCUUAUCCAAAAUCCUGCUAGAAAUGAAUAAUAAUCAUUAAAAAUGCAAAGAUUAAAAAACAUAACAAAAAAAAUGUAUUAACUAUCCCUAAACUACGCUAUGUUAGCGGGUACAUCAAGCUUUGAACAUAGACAAAUCUACUCAUCAAGUAAAUUAUUACAAAAUAUGUCCCACACGUCAAGUUCUUCAUUGAUUAACCUUUAGAAACUAAAAGAACUUUAAAUAUGAAAGUCUGUAAACUGAAAAUUGAUCAAUGUAUUAAAAGAGAGAGAGAGAGAAAGGGUUGACCCUUGAAGUAAAAUUGAGAGAGAAGGAUACCUGAAUUGGUUUGUGCGAGCCAAAGUCAUAAGAUUGUGUUCACCUUCCGCAUCAUUUUUGGCGCGGUUGUCUUCCUCGUAACAUAUUCUCCAUCCAUUGCGCGUCUCAUCCACGCGCCACUUCCUCGCUGCCGCCACCACCACCUGAGCGAUUCUCGUCAACGGACUUCCAACCGGAACUUGGCGUCUGUACUUCUUCACUCCGGCCAAAAAUAGAAUUAUCGCCGCCGCCAAUACUCCGGCUAGAAUUCCAAAACUUAGUCCCCAUCCGAUAUUAUCCUAUGUAAUUUAGAAGGAAAAAAACUGAGUUUAUUAUAUAUUUGUUAAAUUGGAGUUGAUUUAUAUUUUAAUUAUAAUAGAAGAUAAGAGAAACUAAUAUAAUAUUAUUUGUAUAUAAAUGUAUGCAACUUUUUGAUAAUCACCUAAUAAAAUAUAUUUUUUUAAAUCUCACUCUUUUAAAAAACAUUCAUAAAUAUAUAGUACAAUGUCCUAAAAAAAUAUUUUCAUCGUUUUUUUUCUUUUUCUUAGGGUUAGAAAUACUUAAGUUCCAUUUUAAUUAUUGGUGAAGUACCAUUUUUAAAAAAUAAAAAAAUCAAUUCAAAUAGGCUCUCCAAAUUAUUUUAUUUCUCUUAUAGAAAAUAAAAAUGAUGUGAAUAGGAGAUUUCUUUCUACUACAAAUUCAACUUUAGUCAUACCCCACUAGACUUGUUAAGGAAGAAUUAUAUGUGGGUAGCUAAGUAAUUCAAUACAUAUUAUUAUUAGAAAAAAAUGGAAACAUAAUCUCUGAAUUAAUUUAUGUCACAUCACCUUCACACUAAAGGAACUAAAUAAAAUUAUUAAAAGACUUAAUUUUUUUAGAAAAAUAAAAUAAAAAACCAAAAGGACACAAACAUUAUUAAUUUGAGUUAUUUAUUUUGAAAAUAUAUAAAAUUGAAAGAUACCUUUAAAAAUUGAUUAUUGAAUGUUGCAUCCUAUAUUUAAUUGUAAGAAAUAUAUGUAGAUAUAGUGUAGUGAUGUAUGGUUUUGUAAUGAAAAACGACCAGCUUUUCUUUGACAUUGAUUUGUGAUAAGAAAGAGGUUUGAAUUUCAGUUAGAUUAUUAAAUUAAACAAAUAAAAUAAAAGAAAGACAAAAAUAAUAAAAACAAAUUUCAAAAAACAAAAAACAAAAAACAAAAAACAAAAAUCGAUACCUGAACGUAAAUAACCACAAAGACAGCGAAAGUGGAGCCCCCCACAAGGCCCACAUACCACCAAUUAAAGAACGAACUUUUCUUCUUCCUCUCCUCCGGCGACUCCUCAUCAAACUGAUCGGCCGCGAACGUCUGCACACAUGGCCGGUGACCCCCUUGUCCCACCGAUAAAAUGUACAGUCCCAAGAAAAAAACUGCCUUCCGCUGAUUGUCUCCCACCACAGUCGCCGAUACCGUCAACACCAUCAUUCCAAUAAAGAAUAUGAGGGAGGCUAUGAUUAUGGUUUUGAACCGGCCGAGUAGCGAGUCAGCAACGAAGGCGCCAAGUAAUGGGAACACGGCGGAGACCCCGACCCAGUUAUUGACUUGCUUUGCCGCCACGCCCAGUGGUUCGUGGAAGACAGUGGUGAAGUACAUGAUGAGGUUGCUGGACAAGCCGAUAGAGGCAAAUUGUUCGGCAACCUCCACGACUUUCCGAAAUGAAAAUCAAUCAGAAUAAAAAUAAAUAUGACACGACAGUUCAUUUAACUCUCGCGUGUUGUAGUUAAAAAAAGGAAUUAAAUGUUGUCAAUUAUAUAUAUAUUUUUUUAAGAAAAGAAAAAAAUAAACAAGAAGUAUAUAGAUUCGGUUUUGAGCAAGAGCAGUGGAUUAGAGAUUGAAAAAGAAAUAAAAAGAAAUAGAGAGUUGUAGUACAUAUUAUGAAGAUGGCUGCUUUCCAUCCGCCUCCAGGACGUACUGUGGGACUGUUGGAAGCGGUAGGGUGAUCGGGGAAUUUGUUGGGAAGGUUGAUGAUAGGGACGUUGUUGGGAGAUUUUUGUUUCUCCAUGGGAAGGUAUUAAUAUAUGAAUUUGCAGGGAAGAAACCAAGUGUUGAGAGGUAUAUAUAUACACUCUUUCUAAGAGCUUCAAAUUAAUCACCUUUUGCUUUCUCUCUCUCUCUCUUUCUCUCUCUCUCUCACACACACACACACAUAUAUAUAUAUUAAAUUGGUUCUUUCCAUAUUGAAAAAAUAUUUACUUUUUUUCUGAAGCCCACCAAUGUGAAUCAAAGAAGAUUGCGGUAAAAAAGAAAUAUUCCUAAGGGACGUUUCACCGAAUCAUGAAGUGAAAUAAAGUAAAAGUAAUUUGCAAUAUUAUGCUUGAAUUUCAAUAAAUGUUAAAAAAUAUUGAUUGAAAUUGACUAUAUCAUUUUAGGCCGUGAUAGUAAAUAAAAUCUUGAUUUAAAUAGAAUAAAUAAAGAGAAGGAAGGGAUGUCCAAAAUAUAAUUUGCCUUUUUGGAGGUACCUUAAGUUUGAGUCGUCAGCUAAAAAGAAAAGAAAGAGAUGUUAAACAAAAAGGAAUUCUGAGUCGGUUAGAGAGAGAAACAGAUAAAAUUAUUGAGAGAGGUAACACACAAAACUAAACUAUUGCUGCUCCACUUCUUAAUAAUUAUAUAUUGUGUUGGCUAAAACAUUAAAUUAGAACCAUUUUUUUUUAACAAUGAAGAAAAAUAAUAUACUUUGAAAAUUAAGGCAAAACUUACAAAAGUGUAAUAACCAAAGUUGAUGUUUACCUAUCAUAUAUGUUAGAACCAAAUAGUAUCAAAUUGAGCUCAUUAGAGUAAAAACAAAAAGAAAAACUUGAAGUUUGAGGUUCAAUCAUUUCACCUUCCAUAUUGUUUAAAAGAGAAAAACAUGAAUGGUAAUUAGAAUAAGUUAAUGGAAGCUAAUGUAACUGUACUUUCUUUUGUUUCUAAUGUGUAUAUUAGAUAGCAUUUUGGUUAAAGUCAUCAGUUAUUUUUGCAUUAAUGUGGCCGAUAAUGAAGUUUUAUGCUCCUCUCUCUCCUUACAUCCCUCUUCUCAUUUGUUUGGAGUUGAAGAAGAAGGAUGCAAGUAACGGAUAAGUAACGACAACGACAUGCCGUAGGGAGAGCUUGGAAUUAGGGACAAAAAUGAAAGAGAUCAAACUAAAAAUAUAUUCUUUUGAUUAAUUAAAAAAGCAAACCUAGGGAGCACUUCAUCUUUAUGUUAGCUUACCAUAAUUAUUGAAAACUCAUGGAAUAAACUUAGUAUAUAUAUAUAUAUAUAUAUAUAUAUAUAUAUAUCUGUAUCUGUGAAUAAAAGCUUAAAAAAUCUAUACUGUUUAAUUUGUCCAAUCAUACUUGUAUUAAGAAAUGGUGAGAUUUUGAACAAAGUUUGAAUUAGCCAUUAACGAAAAAAAUGUAUCUAAUUGUUAUUAAAUUAUAUGUGAUCAGAUGAAAUUUAGACAAGUGUUUUCAAGUAAAAGAUAAAAAGAAAAUUAUAACACCUCUUUGAAAAGACUAAUAUUUUAAAUGGUAAGUAUAGUCCAUGAACAUGAAGUUCAUUGGGUGGAGUUUUUUUUGUAGGGCUUUUACAUGAAUAAUGGUGUCUUGUCCUUUUAUAGGAAAUUUGAAAGAAAAAUAUAAAGUUAUUUGAAAGUUUAUUAUGGAAGUGAGGUGGUUUUUCUUAACCACAUUAAUUACAAGUUGUCUUAAUUCUCAAAACACAAUUUCAUUUUAAAUACAUUUAACUUAACAACCAAUUUCAAUGGAUAGUAUAUGCAUGUCAAUGAGCAGUAUUAUAUUCAUAAAUAGAUACUCUUUUAUGAAAGGAGUCAUUACUCAGUUUGAUUUUGUUAUUUUUUCCAAUAAAAAUUAAAUAUAUAAAGUAAUACUAAUCAUUUGUUAGGUUAGGUUGAUUAAACAUUUUUACAUACCCUUCCACAUACAUAUAUUUAAAAUUUUCUAAUUUCAUAUAAAAUCAAUAGAAUAAUUUAUUUUUAAUUUCAUAAAAAGAACACAGUAUUAAAACAAGGAAUUUUUUUUUGAAGCAAUAUCAAUUUACAUACAUGUGUUAAACUCGAGAAGAAAAAAUCAUUAACAUGCCACUAAUGAUGUUUACCUUAGCUUUUAGGUUUGAUUUUCUUCAUAAUUUUCAUAUCAUAUUUCAAAUAAAACUCUAUCUUUAUUAAAUAUAAGUUCGUGAUAAAACUCUAUGAUUAUAUAAUAAGUUUGUGAUUUGUGCAUAACAAAUUUGAGUAAUAAUAAGAAUGAAAAUAUAUUUUAAAAAAAUGGUGUCAUGGUUAGUGGGGAAGGGGGAAAUGGUGGAAGACUUAAGUUAUGAUUAAAUUUAUAUAAAAUUGAAGUAAAAGAUAAAUAAGUGACCUCCAAUCCAUAGUUUUCAACUUUACAAAGAUAUUAAUUAUUACAUAUUGAUUAGAUUAAUUUUCUUAACUUUGAUCUUUGAAUAUAUGUGGGGGAAUUGCCGACUUUCCUCAAUGGAGUAUCAUAAUCAUGGUAAUUAAGAACUUUAAGUUUUUAAAUAAACACCAACACAAUAAAAAAUCUCUCUCUAGGGAGGACAUAGUUUUUUUCUAGGGAUAAUUUAUUGCAAAUAAUAUAGGUUAUCAUAGUAUUACAAUUUUUUUUUAAAAAAAAAAAAUUGUAAUAUAUAUAAUUAAAAAUUUAAUAAUACAGAUUAGGUAAGUUUUUCCAUUAAAAAGAAACAAUUAAAAUUAGCUAAUGAUAUAUCAAAAAUGGAAUGUUGGAUACUUUAAUAAUUUACCCUAAAAAGUAAAAAUAGGAGAGUGGAGUGGAACCCAACCCAACUUUACCAAAAUAUAUCGUUGAUUUGACAAAUCUUCAUAUAGGAAUUUGAGAUUUGCCUGCUUUUAAAUACUUAAUUAUUCUCAAAAUCAACAAAUUAACAAAUAGCUAUUCCUAUAUAUAAAAAAAAAUAUAUGGCCAUUAAUUAACCAAAGAGUUAAUUACGUAUUUAUUUAUAAAAUUGUGAAAAAAAGAGGCUCUGCAAAUUGCAUCAAAAUUUAACCUAAACUUUUAAUUUGAUCAAAUUCCAUUAAAUCAAAUAAAUGUUUGCAAAAUAUAUGUACUAUAUGGGUAAGUAGUUGAUAAGAUUUUAAAGAAAACGACAUUAUUAUAUUAAAUCUAUUAAUUGAAAGUUUUAAACUUUAGCAAAGUUAUUCAAUAAUUUAUUAUUUGUACACUCGUCAAACUUUUCUUUUGGGGUGCAAAACUUUAUCUUGUUUCCUAUUGACUAGUUUAUGAAAACAAAAUUUACAUUCCUUCCCAAGAGGUGAUGAAAUUAAGAAAAAAUAUACUCAAUCAAGUUUGAAGUCAAAAUUUGAUAAUUAAUAUUCAUAGACGUGACAACCAAAAUUCAUAAUUUUGUAUAAAUAUUUAUAAUACAAACUAAGGAAUAGUUUUCUGUUACCAAACUUUAAGUGGAUGGAAAUAUAUAAAUGAAAAAAAAAAAGUGUAGAUAUGUAGUAGAGGAAUGAGGCCAAAAUAUGAUGUGAAUGUGAAGAUCACAACACUUAUAUACCACAUCAUAUUCAUGUCUAACCAAAUAAAAUGAAUUUCCUAAAAAGUACCAUCUAUAUGUGUGGACUGUGAAUAAAAUAUUGGUCACAUAUGGCAUUCAAAUAUAUUAAUUAGUAUAUCAUAUAAUUAUGCAAUAUAAUUAGCUAAUUAAUGGAUUAUAGUUUAUUGUAAAAUAAAUAAAUUUUCAUUACCAUCGUCUGCCUUAGGUUAGCAAUACGUGAUAAUUAGACUUAAGUUGUUAAAGUUCCAUUAAACAAACUUAAUUAACUUUUGUAGUAGUAAUUCCUUUUUUUAAAAAACUGUCCACCAUUUAGCCGAAAUUUUUGGUGAUUAUUUUUGCCAUUUACUCUGCUGAUUCACAAAAACACUUAAUUUGUGUUCCUCUUUUUGUUUAUUAAUUUGACUUUGUGUUAAAUUUACGUAAUUUGAUUAAGGUUGGUUCAUAGAGCAGUAAAAGGAAAUUAAUUAAGCUAUUUCAACUUCCUUUCUUUAUUUAAUAUAUAUACAUGAUAGAAAUGUGUUACGAACUUUUUUAUUAAGUUGACAGGCUCAUUAAUUAAUGUGUAAGCUAAAUUAUCUGACUUUGAAAUGUAAUUUUUUUUUUAAUCUAUUGACCUAUUAAGGCUUGAUUAAAUAUCACUUUGAGCACAUAUUAGAUAUAAUUUUGAAUUUUUAAAUAUAAUAAAACUUUUUAAAAUAUAAAAUAGCUCCUAGUCAAAAACUCUAUUAAAUUAAAAUUUUAAAAUUCCAUUGGACUCUAAUUAAAAAAGAGUUUAAAGAUGGAUUAUUAUUGAAUACAGAAGGAAAAGUUAUAAACCUCAAAAUUUAAGGAUUAAAUUUGUGAUGAAUCCUUAGACUAAAAAAAAGAAAAAGGGAUACCACUUUUAAUUGAAAAAGAUAAACAAUAUAUAUGAUAAAAUGGAGUGGGAAACAAAGAUUUAGAUGGACUAAACAUUGGUCAUAGAUUUAGAAAACCCAAAAAUCAUAUGGUGGUGAUUAAAGUUGCUUCUUUUUUGCAAGGAUAGACAAUAUAUACUGAUCUAGCAUUAUAACAUAAGAGUGUGUACUCACACUCUUAAAAGAAAGUUGUACUACAACUAACAACAUAUAUAGUGCUCCCAAAAGCUAUGUUUCUUACAUAUACAUAUACAUAUACAUAUAUAUUCAUGGCUAUAAAUAACAAUUGAAUCAUAUAUAUAUUAGAAAAAAGUACUAUAUUAUUCAUUAACAAAAAAAAAAAAAAAAGUAUUUUAGGUGCUUAUUUGAUACAAUCAUUUUAGGUAUUACUUUUGAUUCUUAAUAUGAUGUCACAUGUCCUAAAUUAUAUUUUAUUUUGUAUUGUGAUCAAUGUCAUGUUUUAAAUAAUAUCUUAAGAUAAUCAUACAUUCACAUCGAAUAUAAAAUAAAUAAAACAGAAUAAAAGUAAUUUUUAAAGAUAUGUUCUUUCACAUUAAAAAAUAGAUUGAGCUUUUAAAAGUAAAGGUUACCAAAUGAACACACCUUAUAUAUACAUUAAAAAAUUUUAAAAGAUAUAUUUUAAGGGUCGUUAAUAUUAAUCAAUUGUCUAUUCAUAUCGAUUUAAUAAGAUUACUUUUUUAUGUUUAUUCUUUAAAAUUUGAAUGGAUAGUGCAUCAAAAUUGAAUGACAAUCCGAGAGUCGAUAAAAUAAAAAAGGAUAGUAUAAUUCCAAUCCAACCCAAUCAAUCUACCUCAAUUAAUUGUUAUUUACAAUAGUUAUUGUUCUAAUCUAUAUCUAAUGAUUUAUUAAUUUUUGUUUAAACCUUGCUGUUAAUAAAGCAUAUAUAUAUUUAUAUAGCUAGGGUUUCAUUUAAUAAGGCAAACUUCACCAUAGAUAGUGCUAACAAGAGUCAAGUCACUCUCAAAUUAUAUUCUUCAACCUAUUGUGCUAAAUUAUAUACAUAUUAAAGAAGUGAUUAUGUAUAUAUAUAUAUAUACCUAUUGGAUGUGACCUUAUUGGAAAUGAUGUGGCUUGCUUUCUUAAUCCAAAUACAUAGAAUAUAGAAAUCAUUAUAGGGUUGGUAACCCAUACAUAUAGGGACAAACAAAUUCAAAGGGAUAAAUAAUUUUCUCUAUUUAUAAAUUUCUUCCAAUCACACGAGCAAAUGAUCCAAUCAAGUGAAGUUGGGAGGAUACAUUAUAUGUAUGGUUAAUUGCUUCUUCCUUAUCCUAUGAUACAUAUCUCUUGUAUUUCUUUAAUCAAUUAAAUUGAAAAGUUUUCUUCUUAAAUCGCUUCCUUUCAACGUCUCUCCGUGUCUAUUAUAUAAUAUAACAUAUAUCAUUUUCUAAUAAGUAUUUCACUUUUGAAUUUGAGUCAUGAUGAGUGGUUUAGAAAUGUGUAAACCUAGUUGAGAUAUAUAUUUGAAUAUUCCUAUUCUAAUUUUUACCUCUUCUAAUAUAUGUUGUUAAUUAAAAAGGAAAAAAAAGUAGUCGUUGUAGUUUUCAUGGAUGACCGAGAGUUAAAUUAUUAAAAUGGUACGGAACGUUUUGUGAUAAAUAUGAAAAUUAAUUUGAUAGAAAUAAAAGGGAAUUGAUGACAUAAAUAAUGUAAUUUGUGACAUGAAAUAAUUUAUAUAAUUAGAGCCUAGAUCUCUAUGAUGUUCAUUAUAUUCCAUUAAAAUAGAUUAAAAAAGAAAGAAAAAAGAGAUGAGAGAUGCUGAAAUAAUAAUUAGGUUAUAAUGAUGAUACUAAGAUUUUGGGGGAAAAAAAGCAUGCAAAUCGAAAGUAGCUUUUUGGGACUGUUUUUGGGCAAUAUUAGAGGCUUCUCCAAUAUUUAUUAUUGCAGAUGCAUCAGCUAGGCAAAUGUGGUUUUCUUUUCUUCUUCUCCAAAUACAAUGCAUUUUUUUUUCUAUUGAGUUAAAUGUAUAUAUAACUAAUAAUGCCCCCACACACACAAAGAAGUUGGGAAAAAGCACCUAAUUAUUUGAACCAAGGAAGAUUUGUGUUAAAAAGAUUUUGUCCACUUUAAAAGGUUCCUGUAAGAAAUUCAACUUCUCAUCAAUGCCAAAUAUAUAUGUAUUUUAAUUUUUUAAAUAUUUUUUUUUUCUAAUAACUAUACUUUCACAUCUGCUUCUAGGUUUUCUAGUUCAUUUUUCUCUUUAUUGUCUGCCAAAUACAAAGUUCCCACAGACUAAACACCUAUAAACUUGGCUUUUAUGUCUACCCCUGUGGACUCUAACCCCUACAACCUUUUAAUCUCGACAUCCAACCCUAUAUAUGAUAUGAUGGAAAAGAGAGGACAAAUUAAACCUAAUUUCAUAAAAGAUAGAUUUUGCCAUGAAUUUUUCUUAUACAUCUUUCACUAUUUGAGUUGCCUUCCAAUCCAAAAAACUUGACCCUAAUAAAUUAUAAUCUAAAAUUGUAGCUAUAUAUGUGUGUGUGUAGAUUCAAUAAAUAGCAUUAUCGAAAUGGUAUAGCAUAUAGGUAAAAUGAGUAGUUAAUUACUAUGUUGGAAACAAAUGAAAUAGCCUAGAAAAAUUGAAAAGAAAAGAAUGAUGUGAUGGAAAGAAAAGUGAUAAUAUAUAAAAGUUCUGUAAGAGCAUAUAUAAAUGUUAGAAAGAAAGAGAUUAGCUAGAGUUUUAGAUGCCACAAUGUCUCACAGCAUAAAAAUUAGGAGGGUUGGGGGAGGGCCAUGGAUCAGAACAAACUACAUCUCAACAACUCAAAGGCAUUAAUAGUGCGAUUUGAACUGACUACAUUCAACACAAACACAUUUAAUAUAUAUUUUUUGACAAAAUAUUUAUAAAAAAAAGUACUUAUUGAAGUUGAGAAAAAAGAAAAGAAAAGAGAUCUCUGUCUCUUAAAAAUCACUUUAAAAGGGAAAAAAACUAUAUAGUAUUAUGCCAGAAGCAUCUUUUAAGUCUUACUCCUUAGUAAGUGGUAUGUGACUCCUCUUUAGUGUCCCUUCCCUUCAAUUAUAUACAUCUUUAUUUUCAAACGCAAGUGUUUUUCUUUUUCCUAAAUAGUAAUUAAAUUACCCUAUAUAUUUCCAUAUCGUUUAUUUGUACUAAUUAUUGCUCUUUAAGUCGUUUAAUAUACACAUAUAUUCAAUAAUAAAUAAAAUUAAAGAUUGUUUUUUUAAAAAGAAAAAAAGAACAAAUUUAUAGAAGAUUUGAAAGGUAGAAUUGGUAUUACACAGCUGGGUGGAUGGAUGUUUGAUGUGUAAGAGAAUAUUAUCCAUGAUUGGGGAAUUUCCUUCGCAUCUCUAAAAAAAGGAUUGCCAAAUUACUUGAAUCCAAGAAUUAGCCAAUAUUCUCUCUUUCUUUUUUUAACUUCCAUUUUGAAUACCUAUUUUAAAGAUGUAUAUAUGUAUAUACACUGUUAAAUUAUGAUGGAAAAAUAAUAUUUGGAUGUAAUUUCCUUCUGUCAACGUGUAACUUUUGUAUAACUUUUUUUUGAUAAAGAAGUUAGGGAGCAUACGAGUUCUAAUAAUUGCUUAUAAUUAGGAUAUGUAUGUGUGAUAAAUAGUUAAAUGAAAAAUGACAGUAUUUCCAUUUGAAACUGUGUAGAGAAAACCAUUAUCAAUCUUCACAAAUUAAAAGAUAUAUAACGUAUAUUUGAGUGGUUUUUAUUUUUAUUUUUUAUUUAAAUUUUGUCCAUGUCUCCAUAACUUUUAUCAAAUAAUGUUUGCUCUCUUUAUCAUUCCAACUUCUUUUGCUGGUUUUUUGGGGUCAAGAUGCUCUUUUUGUUGGUUGUUAUAGAUGCCAAACAAUAAUUCUUAAAAAAAUAAUACAAGAUAAAAAGGAAUUUUAAAUAUAAUUGAUUAGAUACAUAAAGAAUAUAUAUGAAAUACAUGCACAUGUAAUAUAUAUAUAUUUUAUAUAGUGUAUGAAUUGUGAUGAUGGGUAGAGGAAGAAGCACAUGAUCACUAAGACAAAAGCUUGUUCAUCAACAGUUCCAUCCAACUUGAUUUGACCUUCACUUUACCCAAAGUUGCAUUACUUCUCUUGUUUAAGUACUUAUUUCUUUUUUUCAACAAUAUAUAUCUUAUUUUUUCAAUUCAAUUCAUAAAUAAAGAACCUUGUUCCAUACCUACCCAUGGACUUUGACACUUUUUUCUUUUUCAAAAAUAAAAAAAAAGCAUCCCUUUCUUUAUUUAUUUUUUCUAUUCAUUCAGAAUAUUGAAACUUAAACUUGAAUAAACUUGGUACAUGAUCUUACACUAAAAUUAUAAUGCCUACUGGUAGUAAUGUCAAGUUUUGUUGGGAUGUAAACUCAAUUAGUUAAAGAUAAAAUGUUAAAAUCCCAACCUCCUCAAUUAAAAAUUGAUUCCAUGAAUAAUAUAAGAAAAUUUAAAAUUAAAUUUCACUUGUGACUCAUAAACUAAGCCCCGGAAGUUUAUAGUGAAAGAAAAUGGUUUUUCUUUCCCUUUUGUUUGUUGUAAUAUAAAUAUUAUAUGCUUUGGCUUAUAAUUAAAGUUGCAUAUUUUUCAAGCUUUAAAUGUUAUUUCUCCAAUGAGUAUAUAUUAUUUAGAAGAAAGAAGUGUGUUGGAAAAUAUUUAUAAUCUCAAAGUAGACCUAAUGUACAUAUAUAUUGAUUGAAAAUAAUGCUCUUAAUUAUGAGAUAGAAUAUUAAUUACUUCAAACUCAACAUUUGUAAAAGAAAACAUUGAAAUUAAAAUAAAAGAUAAUUCAAAAGCUAAAGAAUACAAUGGGCUUGAAAUUAAUUUUAAAAAAGAUGGGAGUCUAAAAAUUUUAAUUUUGAUUUACAUAAUUGAAAAGCAUACAAAUCCCAACUUAAAAGAUUGGAUAUAUAUAUUUUAGUAUCAAGAUCUCCUUUUAAGAAUACUUUAUUAUGGAUUUCAAUUCUACUUUUCUAACCAUUAAUUAUUCAAAACUCUAAAUUAAAGCACCCUCUCAUAAACUAAUUAUGCUAAGGCAAGUUCAUUGAUCAUGGACCACCUCUAUGUUUAAGUGAAUGUUUACAUUAAAUGUCAUAGUCUACAUUUUAUUUAAAAGGAAACAUCAAUAUGAAAACAUAGUUGAACUAAUAAUUCAGAGAUAAACUUGAUGGAGAGAUUAGAGUUUUGAUUCAUUUUAAUGUAUAGUACAAAAAAAAAAAAACAAAUAUAUUGUUAACUAAAUGAUCUAAAUUAAGAGAGGGUGUUCAAAUAAAUGGAUAAAAUUAAUGAGAGGAGAAGGGUUUGGUUGGCUAAAUAUUUUAUAAAUCUACAAUUUAUAUACCCAAUUUCACAGAGGAGAAGUGCAAUUUUAUUUUGAAAAGAAACAAACAUUUUUACUUUGGUUUCUCUCUUUAUGUCGUAAUCUAACUUUUUCUUUUUGAAACUUAAAAGGAAAAUAAGAAACGGGAGAUCAAUUUGAAAAUCAAGUUUAUAAUACCCUAUUUUAUUUUAGAAUUAAAAUACAAAUUUCUUGAUAUGAAAAUGAAUGAAAUAAUAAGAGUACUCUCUAAACCUUUCUUGUUUUAAUUAAAAUAAGGGUUUAGUGAAGAAAACAUGUACGUACAUAAUGGUAUUCUAACAAUUAUCUAAUAUAAUUACCCUCUUGUAUAUAUUGGUAUGUUUUAAAAAAAGUGAGAUAUAGGAGAUAUAUAUAUAAUGGUAUAUAUAAUUUUGAAGUGAAACAAAAUGUGAUAUGUCAAAAAUAUUUCCUAAUGGAUUAUUGUGCUUUAAAUAUUAAAAUGACGUUUUUAUGUGUUUUUUUUUUUUUGUAAAGCCCUUUUAUGUUAAAUCUUAUGUUGUCUUUUUGGAGUGUUUUUAAGAAAAGGGUUAUGGGUCUUUUUUAAAAAGUUGUUUGUAUUUAAUUAGUAAUGACAAAAUGAAUUAAUGGAAAAGGCCGCCAUCAAAGGAAACCAGAAAUUACGAUAAUACUCGUAAAUAUAUAAUAUCUAAAUAUAAUAUAAUGGAGAGAAAACUAAAUAAAUUAUUUACACACAAAUGGAUAUGGGAGUGAUUGCAUGACAGUUCGAACUCAGGUAAAGAGUCUGAGGGUUUAGGAAUAUAUAUAUAUAUAUAUAUGGAGUUUGUUUUUGUCUUUCAAUUUGAUGUGUGAAACAGAGUGGAACCAAUACACAGUUCAUGAUGUCUUUGCUUACUCAACAACACAAUAUACAACCAUUAGUGUUAUUCCAAUACAUGCCAAAUGCAUCAGUUCCCUUCAAACUAAACCCAACAAAAUAAAGUAUACUUUACAUAUAUAUAUAUAUACCGAAAGUACACUAAAAGGAAUGCAAAAUAGAAGACCCAAAUAUAUUAGUGCCAAACAUAUAAAAAAUAGAAGAUGAUGGUCAUGAUCUUGUGUGUUUUCUUUUUCUUCGUGGGAAUGAAAUGUCAGACAACAUCAUUAAAUUUUGUGUGUUAGUUAGAUAUUUAAAAAUGAGAAUGUGUAGAUAUCACAAAAUAUAUGUGUAUCCAAAGUACCAAAAAAUUCAAGAAAAUCAAUGAUCAAACUUGAAAAUAAAAUAAAAUAAAAGAGUUGACAAGAAAGGAACACAAUGGAAGCAAAGAAAAAGCAGUUGAGGAACAGAAAGGGGCCAAAUGGAAGGGCAUAAGGAGGCAGCAUGCAUGGAGGAGAGGCAAAUAAGUCCAUAAAGUCUUUAAUAUGUUAGAGACCAAAAAUAAUAUAUAGUUUGAUAUGGUUGGUCACUAACUAAGCAUGAUUGAAAUGUAACAAAAAAGAAAUAUUAAACCUCCAUAUCUCUCCAAUUUCUACGUGAGAAUAAUGCCAAUAAAUAUACAAACCAAACACCAACACCAACGUACAAUUCACAAUUUACAGUUAAAUUAUACAAAAUAAACCAAAUAAAAAAAGAGAGAAAAUCCUCCAUUAAAGGAAGAGUACAAGACAUAAAUUGACUCUAGAUAAUUGAAGUUUAGGGUAUAUAGAAAAUGAACUAUUUAAUUCUGAGUAAUGGGAGGGGAGUUGUGUGCUAACCUUGGAGGUAACAACAAAUGGGAUGGUUCCAUGACAGCUGUGUGGCACCACAAUACACAAUACACAAUACACAAUACACAGUACCCAGUACACAAUACACACACCAAGUUUUCUUUAAUUUCUAAAUGAUUUUUUUAGGUUAUUUGAGAGAGCCAAUGGGAAAUGAAAGAGGGACAAACCAAUAUUGCUUGUUGCAUUUGUGUCAAAUCAAACCCCAACACAACACACAUAUCAUUCAUCAUCAUGCUCAUGGGGGUGAUUCAAUUCAAUUCAAGCCUUGCAUUUUUGUUUUCUAUUAAGCCCUCUCUUACUUGUGGGCUUUUCUUUUUCUUUUUCUUUUUGGAUGAGGGAUUCUAGGGUUUUCCAAACAAACAAAUAUAAUAUAUAUACAUAUAUAUUUAUAUAUAUGCCAUAUGCCAUCAUUUUUCAAGAUUAUUGGUCACUCAAAAAGAAAGAAAAAGUCUUAUGUGUAUGUAUUUGGCCCAUGAAUCAAAUAUGGUAUUAGUAUUCAAAGUUUGUAAAAAAGGAAUGGUUGUGCUUCUUUUAUUUAAUAAAUAUAUCAAUACUACUUCAUCAAAUGGAAUUUAAUAUAUUAUAUCAAUAUUAAAGUAACGUCGAUUAUAUAUAUAUAUCAUUUGAAAAUAGAAUCAUCUCCACCAUUAUAGUUGGUUAGUGGUCAAAUAAGCCAGUUAUGAACUUUGAAAAAUAUCUUUUAAACUCAUCUAUUUUUAGUUACCAGUGUUUACAACAGUACAUCAAUUGUGUAUACCAAGCUUCCUACUUUAUGAAAAACAAUGCCAAUUCUUAAAUCCACUUUAUACUAGAUACCUACUUAACAGUAGUUUGUUUAAUUUAUAGAACUUAGUUAAAUUAAAGAUCACUAUGGAUGGACAUAUGAAUUGUCACAGUUGUUUGUGUUAAUCUAAGAUAGUUGAGCAUUAUUUUAAAGAUUUAUGAACAUCUAGUUAGGAUGCUCUACCAGAUGACAUCGUCAGAGUUUUGGAUGUCCUUGAAACUUUGCCUUUUUGCCUUUUGAGAUUCUCACGUUAACUUCGUUUAUUUUUACUUUUCUAACUUUUUUUCAUAUAAAUAUAAAAUCCAUCUCUCUUUUUUAAUUUUAAAUAAAAUUGAUUUUUUUUCUUAUUAUACUGUGACUGUUUUAUUUUUUAUUAAAAUAUUCCAAUCUAAAUUAGUGUAUAUACGUAUUAGAAAACUAACUAGUAUAAAGAGAGAUUAAAAAAGAUGUCUUUAUUAAUUAAUGAAUAAUCAUAGAAAUGGUUGGAAUAUAUUAGGUCAAUUUAAGAUACUAAUGCGUACAAAUUCUAUAAAACAAAUACAAUUAUGAAAGUAUUGUUGGAUAUGUUGAGAAAUAUUCAUACAAAAUAAACGUAGUUAUGUAAGAAUGUGAAAUAUAUCCCAUAGUUAUUUUUAAUGUUUGUUGUAAGUAUUAUAAAUGAAAAGAUGAAAGAUGAAUUCAUACAUUUUUAUAAGAUAAAAGUAAAAUUGUAUAAUAUAAGUAUAAUGUAUGUAUGUAUAUGAAUGCAAUGUAAAGGAUUGAGUGAUAAGUGAUAUAUAUAUAUAUACACACACAACUUACGUUAAAGGGAUUAAAAGUUGGACUACAUGUGUGAUGUUAAUUAAAUAAUAAAGAAUAAAAAGAAAUAAAAGGAAUCGAUGAAUUGAGGAAGUAAAAAGGAGACAAAGUCAACAGUAUCGAUUCACUUCAACAAAACACACACACGCUUCCAAAUAAGCGAUAAGAUCAGAAAAUGAACCAUUCGUUCUUUACUUCCUCAAAACUGAAACUACACUACAACACACACUCAUCAAUUUGAUGUUGCUUUGCAAUUGCAUAUUCCCCUCACCCAUCAAAAUUAAUUAAUCAAUCAACAAUCAGAGUACCAACCACAACAUUGCUCUUCAAAUUCUGUAUUUUCCACAUCAUUGAUCUCUUCACUUAUUAAACUUCCAUCCUUAAUUUCUCUUUGAUCCACAAACCCUUCUCGUAAUCUCUUUACAUUUCCACCCAACUUCUUUUUUCGUUCAAUUGCGGCAGCUCAAUUUGUGUCUUGGGUUGUGCUCCGAUUUCAUGUUUUAGUUUUCAAACCAUUUCUGGGUUUGGCUACAGGUCAUGGCUGCAUUGGCUUCUAAACUUUUGAUGCCCUCUGACAAUGGUUACAGGGUGUGGGAAGACCAAACUUUCAUCAAGUGGAGGAAGAGGGAUUCCCAUGUUCCUCUACGCUGCCAGGAUUCUGUUGAAGGUAUCUCCUUCCUUAUCUUUUUACAUUUAAAAUUAAAAAAAAAAAAAAAAAAAACGGAUUCCACAACAAAAUGCCCUUUCUCUGUGGAUCAUGGAUAUCAAUUGCUUCUUAAACAUUGUCUUCUAGGGGCCCUCAUUAGUGCCUAAUAAUGUGUAUGCUUAGGAUGUCUUAAGUACUGGCAAGACCGUACUAAAGUAGACUUACUGGUGUCGAACUCGGCUGUUUGGAAUGAUGAUGCUGUUCAAAGUGCUCUUGACAGUGCUGCUUUCUGGGUUAAGGACUUACCUUUUAUCAAGUCUCUAUCUGGUUAUUGGAAAUUUUACUUGGCUGCUACUCCAACAAGUGUUCCACACAAUUUUCAUGCUACUGUAUUUGAGGAUUCUCAAUGGGCAAAUUUGCCAGGUAUAUUACAUUUACAACGCGUCAAGAUAUAGUUAGGAUUUAAAAUGUUUAUUGCCCACGUUUUUCUUUGCAUUGGGCUCUCUAUUCUCAUCUAUAUUUCUAGCCUAAACUCAAUUAGCCAUAUUCAUAAGUAUGUUUGGAGAUACCCUCCAAGGUCUUUGGUUCAGGCCUGGUUUGAUGGAUCAGUUUAUCAAUGAUCAGAAUCGAAUCAUUAGAGUUCAGAAAGUUAAAUCAUAGCUGUCUCGUUGCAUAUGAUUCUUUAGGAAAUAAAGAGGAAUAUAGAACAUCUAUUUUUCUUCAAUGUCGUUUUUUUGCCUGGUAAACUCUUUAUUGCUUGUCUAUUUGGAACAGUUCCUUCGAAUUGGCAAAUGCAUGGAUUUGAUCGGCCCAUUUAUACCAAUGUUGUCUAUCCCUUCCCUCUUGAUCCUCCACAUGUUCCAGAGGACAAUCCUACUGGCUGCUACAGAACUUAUUUCCACCUUCCAGAAGAAUGGAAAGGUUCUUUUUUCUUCUUUUCCUUGUUUUCUAAAAAUGUAGGAAACAGACAUUAUUCAAUAUGCCAUCUCUGUAAUCUAUAUUAUAUUUGAUGUAUAAACAAUGACUUUGACAGGUCGUAGAAUUUUGUUGCACUUUGAAGCUGUUGAUUCUGCAUUUUUUGCGUGGAUAAAUGGGAGUCUUGUAGGGUACAGGUAAACGGUGACUUGUAAGGCUGGUUUAUUUGUCAUUUUUUUAGUCUUUGAUAGUGUUGCUCCCUUUCAUGCUGGUUUUCUUAUGAGAAAAUAAAAUGGAAGAAUUGCAUUUUGUUUUCCAUUUUAGCUACUGAAAUGUGAUUUGGCUUGUGGUUUUUAAUAGACCGUGCCUAGUGAAGGUGUGGCCAUUUGGAGGGGUUUGGUGAAAUUAGUAUUGAAAGCUCAUUGAAAGUUAGGAGAUUGUAUUGUUGGAUAUGAAAACUGUGGUUAAAGCCUUUAAUGGGAGUAGUGAUAAAUCUGAAACUUUUUGGAAGAGUUAAAUAUUUGGUGUGAUUAUGGCUUUGUCAGUCAGGAUAGUAGACUACCAGCAGAGUUUGAAAUAACAGAAUAUUGCCAUCCAUGUGGCUCGCAGUCCAAAAAUGUUCUUGCUGUUCAAGUGUUAAAAUGGAGUGACGGUUCUUACCUUGAGGACCAAGACCAGUGGUGGCUCUCAGGGAUUCAUCGGGAUGUAAUUCUUUUAUCCAAACCUCAGGUUUAUUUUCUAUAUCUUCUCUAGUCUACUUUCUGUUUUAUUUGUAAAGGUUUUUAAGUGUUUUUAAUCGAUUAUGCUGGUUAAAAAAAUAAACUUGAAAUUAUAUCCAUAUCAUAAGUCACAACUAUUGAUUUCUUUAUGCGUGUGUGUUUGUGUAUGUGUCAUAUAUAUCUUCGCACUAGUUUAGUUCUGUAUCUCUAAUACUUCUAAAAUUAAAUAGUUGAGAAAAUAAAGUUGAAAUGUUAUUGUUCUUGCUUCCAAUUUGGUUGGUUCCUAAGAUAAAAAAUUUGCAUGUAGGUGUUCAUAGGGGACUACUUUUUCAAGUCACAUGUUGGAGAGGAUUUUUCUUAUGCUGAUAUACAGGUACGCUGUAGAUUCACAUGUUACCAUUUAUAUGCUUUCAGCAUAAACUUUCGUUUUUACUUUUUAAAUAAAAUGAAAUGUAUUAAUUUUAAGUUUUAACUUAUAUUUUAAAAUAUUUGGGUCAAAAUGUUUAAUUUCCCAAAUGGUUGAAAAAAGAGCGAGGAUAGAAUGAAGGAAUUCGGUGAAGUGAUGACAGAGCAUGGAAUGCGUUUAAUUUACAUGAAUAAUGAAGAAACAAGUAGUCCCCAACUUGGUGGUUUUUCAUGGUCGUGCUAACACAAUAGAUUGGUUGAUCAGGACUACCUUUGCUUGUUGGGCCGUUCAAUUGUCUUCUUUGUCAAAAGGGGAGAGUAUGCUAGUUUGUUUGAGAAAUGUUUUUUCCAUACUUUUGGCUUCUGUGUGGCUCAUCAGAGCGGUACCAGGAGUAUGGUCGAGCAGUUCCUCCUCAAUUUAUGGGAGGGGGAAAAGUAUUUUUUCGUUUUUUAUGGCUUUCCGGGGCUUGUGCUAUUUAUGGACUUUGUGGGGUGAGCGGGAUAAUAGGACUUUUAGAGGGAGGGAUAGGGACCUAGUGAGAUUUAGUCUCUUGUUCUCUACCAUGUUUCUUUUGUGGUCUUCAAUUUUGAAGACCUUUUUUAACUACUUUAUAGGCAUUCUUUUCAUAGUUGGAGUCCCUUUUUGUAGAAGAGUUUCUCCUUUUUAUGGGCUUGGUUCUUUUGUAUGCUGUUGCUUGUAUUUUUUUCAUUUUUUCUUAAUGGAAGUUGUUGUUCCUAUACCAAAAUAAAAAUAAAAAUGAAAGUAAAGUAUGAAAUUGGAUGUAAAGUGAGCACUACUGCGAGAAGUAGUUAUAAGCAAAUGGUGGAUUGUGAGUUGGACAAUAAUAAUAAUAAAGGCCUAUUGCAUGAGCAACUCCUAAAUUAUAGAGUUUUUAGUUUGAAGCUGAUCAAGAGAUUGCAAGACAACUGAUACCUUUCAAUUUUAUUCAUGCUUUGUCAUGUACCUCUUGGAAGACUAGCAGUAUCUCAGUAGCAGCUGGAGUUAUUUGUUUUGGUUUUCGUUUGUUUUCUCAAGUUGUUUUGUAUUGUUCUGAGCGUGUUGGUUCUGGUUUGUUUAUUUUUUCCCUUUGUAUUAGCUUGUUCUUUUUGGUUUAGCUGUGUUUGGGGUUGUUUCUUUUGUUUCUUAUUGUCUCGUUGUAUUUGGUUCGGUAUUUUGUACUUUGAGCUUUAAUCUCAGUCGUUAUAUCGAUGAGGCUUGUUUCUGUUUUAAAAGAAAAAUUAUAUUCAUUAGAAACCCUUGUUUUAACCCUGAGUUAUUUUGUAAUUAUAAUCUCUCUCAAACUUGUCACUAGUUGGGCUCCUUUUUUGUAACAUAAGCAUAAAGAAUAUUAUUAGUUUUUCUUCAAAAAAUUGGUCCUCUAAAUUAUCUAUAAUGUAACUGGAGAGAGACAGAAAAAGAAAAAGACGUACAAUUAGAUUCCAAUGACAAACGUAACUGUAGAAGUUUGGGACACAAACGUCAGUUGGCUUAAAAAUAAUGUGUGUGUGUGUGUAUAAGAUUUUAAAAUCUUUUUAUCUUUUGAGUUGGGUCAAUAUUAAAAUUUUAACUUUUGAUCCAAUAAGAUUGAAAAAACUGAUUCAGAUAUCUCUUAAAAGAACGAACCUUGUCAUGGUACAGUUUCCAUAAACUGACAUAUUGAUUUUGUUUGAUUGAUGGCAUGAAUUUUCUAAGCAUCAUGUAUAUCACUGCGUCAAUUACCCGACAUGACAGAAACUUGUUUAUGGAAUCUUACAGGUUGAAGUGAAGAUUGACAGCUCUCUUGAAGGGAGGAAGGAAAAUUUUCUUAACAAUUUUAAGUUAGAAGCAGUAUUGUUUGACAGUGGAAGCUGGGACAAUCAUGAUGGUAAUAUUGAUCUUCUCUCGUCAAACAUGGCCAAUGUUAAGCUUUCUCUGCUUUCUGUCACAACCCUGGGGUUUCAUGGUUAUGUACUUGGGGGAAGAUUGCAAAAACCUAAACUUUGGUCUGCAGAGCAGGUAAUAAAGAUUCUCAUUCAUCUGUUACUUUCUCCUCUUUCUUUGUUACAUUUUGCUAAUUUUUAUUUUCUGCUUUUUCCCUUGUAAACAGCCACAUCUAUACACUCUUAUUGUUCUUUUGAAAGACUCAUCAGAUCAGAUUGUUGACUGUGAAUCAUGCCUAGUUGGAAUAAGAAGUAUAACCAAAGGUCCAAAACAGCUACUUGUCAAUGGUCGUCCAGUGGUAAUCAGAGGCGUGAACAGGCAUGAGCAUCAUCCACGUCUCGGGAAGACGAACAUAGAGGCCUGCAUGGUUCGGGUAACGCUUUCCUUUUCCUUUUUCUCUGGGCUAAAAAUUAAAUUUUCUGAACGCAGUUACAAAAAUAGUGAAGUCUAACCAAAAAAUCAGUAGAUAAUAAAACAUUCAAACUCAACAACAAAAACGUGAAAUCCAACUUAUUGUAUGCAGUUAAAACUAUCCUUGCGGAGAUUUGAUUUGAAUGAAUUCACUUAUUUUUCAUGACAAUUCUCUUCCUUGGUUUGAUCUGUUUGAGUUUGCUCAGACUAAGGCCUCUUUUUGGUGCUGAUAUCUCUCCAAGUCUUUUACAUGAUCUCCACUCAAGAUUUGUUUAAAUUGGAAUGCUUUUGUCCUUCCUGCAUAUUGUAUUUUGAGCAUUAGACUCUUUUCAUUUUAUCAAUGAAAUACCUCUUUCCUUUUUUUUUUUUUCAAAAAAAGAAAGAAAGUAAAGCUACAUGAUUAGAGAAACCGGAACAACAAAAAUAGUCUCCUUUAUGAAUACAUGCUUACCUAGUUACGAAUCUUCAAAAGAAAUUAGAAAUUAAACGAAGGAGUUUAAUUGCAUCAUUUAUUCAAAUAGAGGAUUUAAAUUGCUAUACUCAUUCAACGUUGACAUGGAUGAAAUUUGACUCAUCCUCUUUUGUUUAAGGGUAUAAACCCAACUUUUUCAAUUUCUUUAUUGUUAUUUCUUACGCUAAAGAGGCCUAAUUUAUAGGCCGUAGGAUGAGGUUUUCCUGAAGGGACGUUUAUGGGCUGUAGGGAUGGCACACUAUAUAGUGACUGAAUUGUUUGUUUAUUAUUGUGAUUGCAGGAUUUGGUCCUAAUGAAACAGCAUAACAUUAAUGCGGUGAGAAACAGCCAUUAUCCUCAACACUCUCGAUGGUACGAGCUGUGUGAUUUGUUUGGCAUGUACAUGGUAGAUGAGGCCAACAUUGAAACACAUGGUUUUGAUUUUUCUGGACAUGUGAAGCAUCCAACUUUGCAACCUAGUUGGGCUGCUGCAAUGUUGGAUCGUGUAAUAGGAAUGGUGGAAAGAGACAAGAACCAUGCCUGUAUUAUUGUUUGGUCCUUGGGCAAUGAGUCUGGAUAUGGACCCAACCACUCUGCUCUAGCUGGUAUGCCAUUUUGAUUUAGUUAUAUCCUUUGAGUUGAUUUAAGUGUAAGAAAUGAUUAAAAUACGCUUGUUUGAUGCUUGGAAGGCCAAUUUAUCACGCUUAUGCAUGUUGGAUGCAAUAUUUUUAUUUCUGUUAGAAGUAUUUUGACUCAGACAUUGGUGUAGGUUGGAUCCGUGGAAAAGAUUCGUCUCGGGUGUUGCACUAUGAAGGAGGAGGAUCUAGAACCUCUUCUACUGAUAUAAUUUGUCCAAUGUACAUGCGCGUGUGGGACAUAGUGAACAUUGCUAAUGAUCCCAAUGAAACUCGUCCAUUGAUACUUUGCGAGUGAGUCUUGUUGAUAACUAUUUUCUAAACUUCUAUGGCAAUUUUACAACAUUUUUAUCGUGGGCUUUUGUUAACGUUAUACAUCUUUAAAAACAACAGGUACUCACAUUCAAUGGGAAACAGCACUGGAAAUCUUCAUAAAUAUUGGGAAGCAAUUGACAACACCUUUGGCCUCCAAGGAGGUUUUAUCUGGGAUUGGGUUGACCAGGUUUUGACACUGUUCGAUCUGUAUUGAUAAACUAAUAAUGUAGAGUAAACUGUUUGUUUGUUCUUCUACCCAUGAAUUAUCUGUUUCAUUUAUCUAUUUUUAUGCUGCAAACUAAUUUUUCUAAUCAUUAGCUUUGGGGUGUUUACUGUUUAACCCCUUUUUGCAUUAGUUUCAAAUGUUUUACUUUUGAUCUAGGCACUAUUGAAGGAAGUUGGCAAUGGCAGGAAGCGAUGGGCAUAUGGAGGUGAAUUUGGGGAUAUUCCAAAUGAUUCGACUUUUUGUCUCAACGGAGUGACAUGGCCAGAUCGAACUCCACAUCCUGCACUACAUGGUAAUGCAACAAUCAGAUUCUUAUAUAUAUCUACGUGUUGAGCAACAAUUUUGGAGGCAUCAUGUAUGUUACUGACUAGCUUUCAAAUUCGCAAAACUCUGAUUUCAGAGGUCAAGUAUCUUCAUCAGGCAAUCAAAAUUUCAUCAAAGGAUGGAACACUUGAGGUUUUCAGAUGCCUAACUAGAUUAUUUCAUCAAUUGUUGAAGUUUGGAGGGAGAUGUCUUACAAUGUAUUUCCAUUUGCAGGUUCUGAAUGGUCAUUUUUUUUCAACAACAGAGGAUUUGGAGUUCAGUUGGAGCAUUUAUGGUGAUGGUCUUGAACUUGGAAAUGGAAUUCUCUCUCUUCCUGUAAUAGGUCCUCGGGGAAGUUACAAUAUUGAAUGGCAAUCAAGUCCAUGGUAUGAUCUAUGGGCUUCAUCAUCUGCACUGGAGUUCUUUUUAACUAUAUCCGUGAAACUUCUGCACUCAACACGAUGGGCCGAAGCUGGUCACAUUGUUUCAUUAUCACAAGUCCAGUUGCCAAUGAAGCGAGAAUUUUUUCCUCAUGUAUGCUUUUAAACACCGAAUAAAACUAAGUUGGGGAAUUUACCAUUUCAAUAAUAUAAAUUAACUGUGGAAAAUAUAUAUUGAUGCGCAGUCCAUCAAGAAUGGAAGUUCUACUUUAGUCAACGAAAUUCUUGGGGAUUCAGUUCGAGUCUACCAGCAGAACUUAUGGGAGAUUAAAUUAGAUGUUCAAACAGGAACUCUUGAAAGCUGGAAGGUAAUAUAAUAUAUAAUUGAAUUUGUUAAUCUAUAGGGGUUUUUAAUUUCACUAUGCUUUAUUUUAAAGUUGGAUAUGAAAUGAAGCAACCCCCUUUUAAGAUAUGUAUCAGCAUAAUUUUAUUAUUCUUCAACAUGUUUUUUGAGCUUCACGAGAACUAGGGAGUCCAAUUUUAAGUGUUGACUUGCAGGUUAAAGGAGUUCCUCUGAUAAUUAAAGGCAUCAUUCCUUCCUUCUGGAGAGCGCCCACUGAAAACGACAAAGGUGGAGGUUCAUGUAGUUAUUUAUCUGUAUGGAAGGCUGCUCAUAUUGACAAUCUCUCUUUCACUGCGGAAAGAUGCUCCAUACUUAGUACAACAGAACAUUAUGUGAAAAUCGCUGUCAUUUUUCUUGGCGUCAGGAGUGAUGAUCGGCAGGCUUCUAACUCUGACUUAGAGAAAUCAAAUGUCUUGAUUCAAGCGGAUAUGACAUAUACAAUUUUUGGUUCUGGGGAUGUUCUUGUGAACUGCAAUGUACAACCAAGUCCAAAUCUUCCUCCUUUGCCUCGGGUGGGAGUUAAAUUUCAUCUAGAUAAAUCUAUGGACCGGGUCAAAUGGUAUGGAAGAGGGCCGUUUGAGUGUUAUCCUGAUCGAAAGGCAGCUGCUCAUGUUGGAGUUUAUGAGAAGAAUGUGUCUGAAAUGCAUGUCCCAUACAUUGUCCCUGGAGAAUCUUCGGGCAGGACUGAUGUCAGGUGGGUAACUUUUGAAAACAAGGAUGGUGUUGGAAUCUAUGCCUCAAUUUACGGAAGCUCACCGCCUAUGCAAAUGAGAGCUAGCUAUUACUCCACAGCAGAACUUGAACGUGCUGUACACAAUGACGACCUUGUUGAGGGAGAUGACAUUGAGGUAGAUAUUUCGGAAUAUUUAGCAUAGCUCUGAGCAUUUAAAUACGGCUGCCUAAUAAUAUUCCUUAACCGCACAGUUCACACAAAUUUUUUAAGAAUAUGCUGGUUUCACCCAUAUUGUUAGUCGCUCAUUAGUAGCAACGCAAUCAAUUGACUAACAGAUGAUCUCUGAUUUGACUCUUCUGUUGGGUUUUACCAUCCUCUACAAUCUAAUCUCUUAGUUUCAUCGUGGUGUCAUGUAGGUUAAUCUUGAUCACAAGCACAUGGGCGUGGGAGGAGAUGAUAGCUGGUCUCCCUGUGUGCAUGAAGAAUAUUUACUUCCUCCAGUGCCAUACUCGUUCUCGAUCAGGUUCUGUCCAGUAACUCCAUCCACUUCUGGCUAUGAUGCUUACAGAUCCCAACUUCUAUUGUAGUGAAUUGGGCGUCAGCAUUCAACCAAGUAAAUAACUUCCAAUAAUCUAUUGGUUUGCUUAAUGACAAAAGGGACUUGCCAUCUCAUAGCUAACCAUGUAGACUCUCUCUCUCUCUCUCUCUGGGUCUGUCUAGAUGUAAUAUUCAGUAGAAUCUCUGUGUGACCUGGAGUGGAGAAGAGAGAAGACUCAUAUUAGUUGUGAUUAUCUAUGGGUCGCAUUAAAUAAACAUUACAAAUAAUGGGAAUGCUGCAAUUGAUACCCGUAAAAGAGAAUUUUUAUUGAUGUUAUUGAGAUAAUAGAUGCCCCUCUGUUUGUUUGUUCUAUCCCUCCCACGUAUGUUGAUGUUAAGAGUGACAAUUCUGAUUGCUGGGCUCUUUAGAAGCUGAGGAUUCGAGCAAUAGGUUGGGGAUAUUGUUUCCGACCAGGGACUUGAAAGGAGUCCUCCAUUUGACCCCGAUCCCCCAAUCAAACCGGGAUUCUUCGUCAUUCAAAACUACUACUUUGUUACCUUCUUUAAAUUAAGAUAAAAGUUUUGUGUGUGUGUGUGUGUUUUUUUCUUUUUUCUUUUUUUUGCAAAAUUCAGUCCUGAACAAAAUUGAAAGUCUAAAUUAGGUAGAAAAUGGAUGGAUAAGAGGAAAUUGAUAGACAAAUAAAACCUAUGUAAUUGAAUCAGCAAUUUCACAGUUUAAAGGAUUGAUUUUAUUGUUAUCUUUUAUCUUUCUAUUGUAAUUGAGAAUUAUUUUUAAAUAAAAGGGUUGUUUUCAAUUAUAGCAAAAUGAAAAAAAAAUAAAAAAAUUUAGGGAUUUUUUUUAAAAAUAAUGUAUUUUGUAAAAAUAUUUUGAAAAAUAGGGUUGUUGGGAAAGAAAUUAUAAGAAUAAGGUUGUUUCCAAAACUAUUUAAAAAAAUAUAUGUUUUUUUUGAAAUUGGAGGAAGUCGUGUACGGGGUACACGACUUUCAAAUGAAAUUGAACGAAGUCGUGUACGGGGUACACGAUUUCCUAAAUGUACAUGUCAGCACACUUCGCUCCAUGUAUGCACGAGUUUUAACAUAAUAAUAAAAUAAAAUAAUAAAAUAAAAUAAUUUUAACAACAAAAUUGUGUACCCGUCCACGAUUUUUAGAAAAACAUAUAUUUAUCACGAAAUAGAAGAGGAAAAGUGAAGAGAGGAAGAGAAUUUGAAAGGAAAAAUGGAUGAACCCUAUGGUUGCUGUUGACUGUUGACUCACUGUUGACUCAUCGUACGGAAGUCGUGUACGGAGUACACGACUUAUCCCAUAUGCGGCAAAAUGUGCCAGCUGUACAGGAGUCGUGUACCCGGUACACGAUUUCAGUCACCUAUUUUUGAAAAUACUUUCCCAACUACCCUAUUUUUGUAAAUACUUUUACAAAAACACAUUAUUUUUUAAAAAAAUCCAAAAUUCAGGUGCUAUGAGCAGGUGGUUAAUAGUUAUUGAUUCUUAAAUGCAAUUAAGAUUAAAAAAGAAUAAUAAUGCAAUAGACUAAAUUAGAAUAAACGAACACCGUUUGAUACCUUAAAAAAGAAAAAGAAAAAAAAGAAAAACAGAGAUGUUUUGAAAUUCUAGAAAUAUAACCUUCUAAAAAACUGUUAGUAAAAUUAUAAUUUUAGCGCUUAGAAUUAAUUGCGCGCGCAAUGGUCCACUUUGCAACCAAACCAUUUCACUCCACUCCACUUCUCGAAGCUUAUUUCCAUUCCUUUUCUCCAUUAAUCUUCAACUUGGAGCACCAAUCCAAGCUCCCAUGGCGAUGCUGUCGUCUUCAUGUGCGGUCGCCGAUUUAGUACUCAAGAACGCACUCAUUUUUACCUGCGACGAUUCUCUUCCUUUCGCCGAUUCCAUGGCCAUUCUCAACACCAGGAUUCUCCGCGUCGGCACCUACUCCGCUGUUCAGGUUCUUCAAACCUCUUCCCUUCCACUUUUAUUUACAUACCACUAGAACCUGCGCGCUAUCUUUUGACAGAGGCAUUCGGAGUUAUGUACUGGAAGUUAUAUAGUUUCUGAUCAUUGUACUCGAGUCUCGUACAGGAGGAUUCUAGAAUUUCAUCCCUCUUUUCACCGUAGCUUACUCUCUGUUUGUGAAAUCGAAGCAUGUUUUUCGGUUCUCUUAUGUAGUAUGUCUUCAUUUAUGUGAAUACAGGACUUGGUUGGACCGAGGACAAAAGAGUUGAAUCUCGGGGGAAAAGUUGUGGUUCCUGGUUUUAUUGAUGCACAUGGCCACUUAAUUUAUCAAGGACUGCAGGUUUUAGUGAAGCUUCCUGUAUUUCAACUGAUUGCGUUACUAACUCACUGAAUUCUGCUUCCCUUGUUGAACCGUUUUCAGUUUUAUUUUCGGUGGAAUCUCCGUAUGCUUUUAUCGAUGUCUCAAAAAUUUGAUUAGUGAUUACUUUUUGUUAUUUAUUGGCGGCUAACCUCGUAUGAAUCAGAUGAAGGAAGUGAACCUUCAUGGUGUAAAUCAUAAACAUGAGUUUGUGACAAGGAUUGCAGAAGCAGCUAAAAGUAAUUUUCUCUCGUUAAAGUAGUUCACGAUUCCAGUGAGAAAUGUUAUCUCGAUUAGUAUUUAGUGUGUUUGUUCUAUGACGCUUUAAAUAGACGUAUGCUUUUAAAUGAGUUUUUGCCAUUUGAUUGGUGCAAGAUAGAAACAAACCAGAGAAUAAUUAUUAUCAUAGGUUUAGUCUGGGUGGGAUUUAUGGAGGCGAGGACAGGUAUAUAAUUUUUCUUGGUUUCCAUUUCAAUAUUUAGAUGAUCAUUUUAAAUUAUAAAUGACUUGGAGGGAUUUUUCUUACUUUUUAUUGAGUCUCCUAGAUCUCAAUUAAAAAACCUCCCAUGCAGUCAUAGUAAAUAUUCCAAGCUUAUUUGUUUGAAAUGUGAUUUCACCGAAAGAUCUUGGAAUUACAUCUUCCGUUCCUCGAUCUUCUCUUAGAAAAAUAUCUUGCAUUCUUCUGGCUUAAAUAGGCAAUUCUUUCAGCUAAAUUAGAUUCUUGGUGGAACUGCAAUAUUUAACGGGGCCUAAAAACCUCAAGCGGGAAGUGACAAGAUUUUGGAAAGUGCUGCGUAUGGUCAGUUCCAGUUUAGUAAUAGCUUGGUUGUGCCUUAUCCUAUUUUGUACUUGUUUUAAGAAACAUUAAGGAACUAAUAAAAAAACCUUAAUUCAAUAGAAAAACAAAGGUACAUGAUAUGGGUAACACAUUCUUUUAUGGAACCUAGGAGAUAGAAAGAACUCCCAAUUGGCCAAGUAUAAUGGAAUAAAAUUAUUUGGAAACUCUUAUUAAUACAAGACACCUCCUAUUAUACAUUCUGAAAGAAAUAGAAUACCGAGAAAACAAUGACAUUUUCUCAUACUAAUGCAAGUCUAGUGAAAGAAAUUAUUAAGAAACUGCUAGGCCACCGAUAUUAUUUAAAUAUAGCUGGAAAAAUAAUAACAACAGAAAUAUCAACCCACGCAAGAAUAUAGGAGAGAUUAUAGGGGGAGAGAAUAUCGGGGAAGAUCUUUCACAAUCGUCAGUGAGUAUAACAGAUUAAAAUGGAGAAAAGAGGAGGAAAGAGGGGAGAAGAAAAAUAUUCCAGAUUAGGAGAAGCUGCUCUCUUUCAGUUCGAGAGAAGCAGAGGAUCGAAGUCAAGUUUAUUUAAUAGUUGUUUGGUCGUUUACAUUGUUCUGAGUUUUCCAUAUUUUAUUUGCUUGUUCUGAUCUGUUCGGAUUAGAUUGAGGCUUAGGAGAUAGGAGUGUGUGAAUUUUUCUUUGAUUAUUUGAUAUUGUAAUUUGUAAAUUCAAGUCAAUAAAAUAAGAUACUAUCAGUAUCUUUACAGAAACUCUUACUAAUUCAAGACCACUCCCAUUAGUAAUUUUGAAAGAAAAAGAAUACUGAGAAAAUAACCACAUUUUCUACUUUUGUUGGCCUGAGUUUCUUUCAUUCUUAAUUCUCUUUUUUCCUCAAGUCUUUCUUAAGUUGCCUAGAUGGCAGUAGCAACCUUGUACUUCUUUCUUUUGAUUUUUUUUCCCUGCUACAAAGUAAAACAAAUAUAUACUAACUAUAAUGGGUUGACCUAGUGGUAAAAAAGGAGACCUAGCCUCAAUAAUUAACUAAGAGGUCAUGGGUUUCAAUAAUUAACUAAGAGUCAUGGGUUAAAUCGUUUCCUACGAGUUACCUUAUGUUGUAGGAUCAGGAUAUGUGCAUAAGAAGAAAAAAAAUAAAUAAAUAAAAUAAAUAAAAUAAAUAUAUAUAUAUAUAUACAUAUAAAAUAUAUAUAAAUAUAAAUAUACUGUGUUUAUAGCUUCUAAAUAAUUUAUUAUAAUAUUUUGGGCGUGUAUGUGAUGAUUCCGAGAGCCAUCUAAUUUUGAGCUUUACAAAAAUAUUCAGACACUAAGAAAGGAACUUGGGUACUGGGUGGCGGAUGGAAUAAUGAUCUUUGGGGAGGUGAAUUGCCAAUGGCUUCUUGGAUUGAUGAUGUUACGCCAUCUAACCCUGUAAGCCAUUUCUUUCUUUAAGGUGACUACUACGAAACGUAUCUUCUGUAAUUUAUUUUUCAUUCAAAACUUGGCGUACAGGUUCUUCUGUCAAGGAUUGAUGGUCAUAUGAGUUUGGCUAAUAAUGUGACACUUAAGUUGGCUGGCAUCUCUAAUUUAACGGAAGAUCCAGAAGGCGGGACCAUAGGAAAAACUACUGGUGGAGGUGCUGUUUUACAGUUUGGUUGAAAUUUAAAAUUUUUGUAGGAAGCAAAAAUAUUUACUAUGAAAACAUUGAAAAGAACUACGGAGAAAUAAGAGGAUUGAUUAUUUUUUAUAUUACAAGAAUUAUUUAAAAAAUAGUUUCUAUUUCAAACACAAAAAGAAAAAAAGAAAGAAAGAAAGAAAAGGCCAGGUGUAAAUGUUGAGAUAAUUCAACGUGGUUCAGACAUCUAACUUUUGAGUAUUACAUAUGGACUCUAGCUCGACAUAUGCUAAUCAUUGCAGUUUAUUAUAUCUGGAUGGGCUUGAAUUUUGAUUGAAGUCUUAUCAUAUUUGAUUUAAAAUGCCAAAUGAACUGCUUAAAUAAGCCAUUUGGUUAGGCAAACUUCAACAUUUAAAAAUUCAUUACAAUCAAGGUCACGCCAAUAUCAAAUAUGAAGUUGGCUGGGUGUGUUUCUUUCUUUCAUACAUUUAUUUGUUAGGGAAUGAAGCAAAACAAACUUAACGUAAAAAAAAUACUUUUUAGCAGGAAAAUUAUACCAUCUUCUGUUUAAAGGGGUCCCCAAAAGAGCCCCUCAUUGUACUAUGAAAUUUCAUUUCCCAUUCUUUGUUCUUUUGUGAAGAAAACCAGUCAACUUCAUUUCUCUUUUUCUGCUUUCUUUUUCUUUUUGUACGUUUCAGUUGUCAAUUGAUCUUAAUGAGGUCAAAUGAAGUUAUCUAUAAUUUAGUUUUUGUGCCCCAGAUCCUACUGGAUUGCUGAUUGAUUCUGCAAGGAAGUUGGUCCUACCUUUUAUUCCAAAGGUUGCGGUAGAGGAGAGAAGAGAAGCAUUGGUAAGGGCCAGUAGUCUUGCCCUGGCUAGAGGUGUUACAACAAUAGUUGAUUUUGGAAGAUAUUAUCCAGGAGAAUCAGUGGAAUUAUCAUGGGAAGAUUUUUCUGGUAAUUUUUCUAUUGUUUUAAUUACUAGUUCAGGCCUCUCUCUCUCUCUAACUUAUCUUGGUUUGCUUCCUCGAUGUCUGCUUAUACGGAAGGACUCACAAUAGGCAGAUAUGAUUACUUAUUAUUUUCCUACCUUCUCGUAGUAAAUCAAUUUUUUUUAUCGGUGUGCAAUAAUUUUAAAUGGGCAGAUGUGUAUCAGUGGGCAGAUUCUUCAGGGAAGAUGAUGAUCAGGGUUUGCUUAUUUUUUCCAAUGGAAACAUGGUCAUCGCUACAUGUAUGACACCCAAUGGAAUGUUAUUUAAAUGAUGUUCGUCAUAUUUCCCAAGUUUGUGUUGCUAACUUCUUUAAUUCGUAUCUGGAACAUAUAUAUGCCAUUUUAGAAUAUGCUACUUAAUUUUACAGUAAGAAACAUAAACAUGCAAACCAACAUUGAUAUGGGCUGUCUUUAUUGAAUUGAACUUUUGGCAAAUGACUUUAUAUGUCAACUCAUCCCAUGUUUUUUUUAAACGGAGACAAGCUUCUUUAUUAAUAAUAAACUCAAAGUACAAAAGAGUUAUACAGUGGAAAUAAUUGAGAAACCUAGAAAUGGGAAAGAGGGAGGAUUAGUCAACUAGGUUGACACCCCCUUAGCACCCUCGUCAUAUCAAAAUAAGAAUAAUUCUAAGGUCAUGCAAAGACCAAAAAUAACAAUAUAAACUACCUAUAGGUAGACAGAUGCAAAGGACAAUAAAAACCGGAAAGCAUAAAACUAAGGAUCAAGUGGUGCACCCAAGACAUUUCAAUUAGAUUGACUCUCCAUAUUGUAAAAUGAUGGUUGCUUGUUUAAUUAUUUAAAGGCGCAGGUUUAUGUAUAUUUACUAUUUCUUUUUGACAAGUGUUGGAGGCUUAUUUGCCCCUCAUUUAGAGCUCAAAUAAUUUGUAAAUAUUUUCAUUGAUCAAUUUUUAGGGUAUUUCAUUAAUGUUUUUAUGUCUUUGUGGGUCUCUGCUUCAAUUGACAUGCUACUUAUGACUUUGCAACAGCCUUACCUGUGUACAGGCUUCUUUGAUCGCUUUACUUGCUUCAGUAUCUUCCCUUGUUUAUUCUUGCUUCUAAUAUUCUUUUUAUCCUCUCCAGGAUCUUAUCCACAAAAUGGGUCAGGUUGUGAGCCCAUGGAUGUACUUGGGUGGUGUCAAGGGUUUUGCUGAUGGGUCUUUAGGUUCACAUACUGCUUUGUUUCAUGAGGUGAGAGCAUCUGAUGUAGCUAUUGUGAGAGGGUUCUGUUAUAAUUUGUUUUAGUUGGUUGUUAGUUUAGUUUUGUUUGAUUAGUUGCCUUAAAUCCUCUAUAAUUGGAGAUUCAUCAUUUAUGUUUUGGAAUGUUUAAAAUUAUAAUAAAUAUUCCUUAUGAUUCUUAGACAUUUUCCUUCGAUGUUUGGUUGCAUAAAAUUGAUAUGAAACAAACUUUGUAAGAGGCUGAGGGCCCAAAUAAUGAAAGGUUUUUGGUUCAAGAUUACCGAAAUGAAAAGUUUUUGGCUCGACAUUCCAUAUUUUCCAGCUAAGAAGAGGAGGUUUUUCAUGGGUUUCUGGAAUGAUUCGAUGAUGGUUAUGAUCAGACAAUUUCAAGAAUGUAGAUGAACAACCUUACUUUAACAUGAUUUUCUCUACUCAAGAAUGUAGAGGAUGAAUCUUUUUAUGGAUUUGAUGAAUAUUUCGACGAGGAAGAUGAGCUUUUGUAUUGCUUGGAAAACUAUUUGUUGAAAAUGGAAUAUCAAAAAAAGGAGCUUCGAUAUUAUUGCAGAAGGAAAACCUUAUUUUACUGUUAGAGUGACAAGAUAAUGAAGAGGGACAUGAAUGGAAUAAAUCUUGGCAGCAAAUAGCAAACUUUGAGGAUGUAGAUGGAGAUGUUCAGUUUGGAUAUAUGUUUUUUCUUCAAGAACCUAGAAGCCAUAAGGAACUAUUUUACAAAUAUGUAACUAUCUGACAGUUUGAUGAGAUGUUGCGUUAGAUUUUUUAUGGGCUUAAAACAACCUUUUCUAUUGGUUUUUUUUUUUUUUGUAUCCUUGGAAGAAGUAGCUUUGAAGCAAGAUUUCUGACUGUGAAAUUGGGAAAACUCAGGUGAGUUUUUCUAUUUAAAAAGGAAGGGAAGUAUUAACGAUGUACCAUAUAAUGGUAGAGUUAUUUCUAUAAUUUUGUUUAAGUUGGUUUAGUUAUAUUUGAUAGUUACUUUUUUAUAAAUAGGAAAUUCAUCAUUUGUGCUGAGGGACUUUUAAAAUCAUAAUAAACAUUCCUUUGAGGAUUCUCUGAGAUUCUUACUUUUGUUGUUUGGUUGGAUCAGCACCACCUGGCAGGCAUUUGAGUUUGAUAUCUUCAAAGUUGAAACAUUCAUUGGAAGUCUGUGGCCAUUAGUUGAGAUCAUAUGGUUAAUGAUCAUUUGCAGUUUCUUUUUGGGGCCUACCUUGGUUCUUACGAAUUUAUGAUAAUAAUUAUCAUAUUGAGCUUUUCAAAAGUUGGAGUAUCUUCACCAUGUUCUGUAUUUCUAGUAAUACUCUUUUUGUACAUUGUUUCAUAACUAUCUAUGUUACCAUGUAGCCUUAUGUUGAUGAGCCUGGCAACUGUGGCAUGCAAAUAACAGAACGUGAGAAGCUUUUCAACUUGACCAUGGAAUCAGAUAUAUCAAAGCUUCAGGUUAUUUGCUAUUCAUCUAAAUAAGCAUGAUUGCAACAUGAUUGAUUCAAUAGAUUUACCUUAAAUUUGGUUCAGGUUGCUAUUCAUGCCAUAGGCGACAAAGCAAAUGAUAUGGUCCUUGAUAUCUACGAAUCUGUCAUUUCUACAAACGGGCCAAGGGAUCGAAGAUUUAGGGUAAUGGCUUUGAGAAAUAGGGAAGCUAAUUAACGUCUUGAUAAAUAUAACUCAUUGUUAUUUUGGUUUCUCAUGAAUAGGUCGAGCAUGCUCAACAUUUGGCACCUGAAGCUCCUCAACGAUUUGGUAAACUAGGGAUUAUUGCUUCAGCUCAGGUCUCUUAUUGUUUUCAUAUUGGAUCACUGUUGACAUGUUUCCCCCAUUUCCAAAUUCUCAGAUCAAUGAUUGAUACCUGGGCCAUGAGGCAAGAAUGAUAUAAAACGAAAGAAAAAAACCUGUAGAAACUAUUCACAUUGAAAAUCUUCUGCUGUGGCUAAAAGUCAUUUUACUUUUUCAUUCUGGGUGUGUGCUCUCAUGGCAUGGUUCUAUUUUUCCAAUAUUGCAUGAUUGUAUGCUAUGUCCUGAUAGGUUAUGUAUUUAGUUUCAGCAUAUAUAUUAACCACUUGUAAAAUAUUUUUUUAACAAAAUUCUCAUGUCUAAUGAAAGUCAUGCACCACAUUAAAUUAUUUACAUGAUGAACAGAGUUUGGAAAAAUUUUAAUACAUAAAAAGAUAGAGGUCUUUUUGUUGUCUUGGACUAGAGAAAGGAAAGGAUCUAGAGAAGGGGAAAGGAUGCAACCACGUCGUAAUUGACCUAAGUAGAAAUUAUGAGAUGUAAACGAAGCUCUAAUGCUUGUGUUGUGUGAAAAUAAUUAUCUACACCAAUUAAGGCUGGUUCGAAAUGCCUACAAAAGUAUUUUAAGUGCUACAAAAUGUUUUUAAGCAUUUAAAAUGUCAUUUCAAAAGACUUAAUCUUUCACGAUAAAUUUGUAUUGUUAAAUCCCUUUUUCCAUUUUCUUUCUUUAAGUUUCCCUUCUUUGGCUAGUUACAAGUUGUCCAAAACAUUUUAAUUUCACCAAGUGUUCCAUUUAAUUUGAUUUACAGUUUGGUUUUAACAUUACUAUUUAGCAUGUUGGUAGCUCAGUAUCCCUUUUGAUGGUUUCAUCCAAGUUAUUGAUGAUCUAAUCUGUUUCUUGGCAGCCCGAACACCUUUUGGAUGAUGCAGAGUCUGCGACAAACAAACUUGGGGCACAGAGAGCUGAAAAAGAAUCUUUUUUAUUUAGAUCACUUUUAACUUGCAAAGCAUGCUUAGCUUUUGGUUCCGACUGCCCGGUAAGCUUCUGACGUUUUUAUUACCUAAAUACUGCACAGGCCUAAUCUCGUGUAUUGCUGUUUUUCAAAACUAUACUUUAGAGAGGGGGAAAAACUUCUAAAUUACAUACAUGUACAAAGUUGAACAUUUAAGAUUGGUUUUUGUGUGUAGGUUGCAAAUAUCAAUCCAUUGGGUGGUAUCAGGACUGCAAUGAGAAGAAUACCUCCGUCCUGGGAUCACGCUUGGAUGCCAUCAGAGUGCCUCACACUGGAUGAAGCCAUAAAGGCGUAAGCAAUACUCUGAAAUCACUUUCUCAGAUGUACUUGUUUAGUUUGCUUUUGUCUGUUUCUAAUUCUUAGUGUCUGUUCGGUACUUAUAGGAGCAACGCAGUGUUCCUAAGUAUUAGCCUUAGUAAAUAUGGGGCCAGACCUAGCGUAGUGAUGAAAAAAUUACUACCUCAAAUGGUGUGGUAAAUCUCUGUUUGAAAUGGAGAGGGGUUAGUAAAAUUUUUAAAAUUUUAUUUCGGUGAUAUGGACAGUGAUUGGGGGAUGCAUUUCCUCACCCCAAACGUGAUCCUGCCCACGUUUAUUCGAUCAUAUUUGUUCAUUUGUUAAUUGAUUUAUUAAUUUCUUCAGAGAAAGUGUUAGUUAUUUAUAUAUAUUAAUUACUUCAGAGAAAUUGUUAUGAAUAAAAAAAAUUGAAACUAUUUUCGCAUAUGGCAAAAAAAGAAAAAAUUAAAAUAAGCUAUAGAGAAUUUGAUGGAUUUUGCUAUAAUUGUCAAUAGUUUUUUUUUUUUUUUUCUAUAUUUGAAAAUUCCCCAAGUUAUAAUCCUAGGAUAAAUUUGGUUAGUGCUUUUGUUUUGUAUUUGCCACUAAGAAAGAAACUCCCGGGUGUUCCAUGAGAAGGAAAGAGAUUGAAGUAAUGAUUAUGACGAACCUUAGUCCAUUGCUCUUGUGUCUUCGCAACCGUCGUCCCUUUGUAAUUAACUCUACUUCGGGUGCUGUUUUUUUCUUUAGUGAACUCAGGAGGUCUAGACUUUAUAUUUUACGUUUUUUUCCUCCAAAUUAAUGAAAUCAAGGUAUUUGCUUUUAAAAAUUUAAGUAAAUAAACUCAGGCAAAAUUGAAAAAUAAGUUAUUUCUGGCCCUUGGAUAUAUAUUUUCUAUAUAUGUUUUUUUAAAAAAAUUCUUUAAUUUUUUUAAAAUUUAAAGAGGCAGUUUCAAAUAUGGCAGAAAAAGAAAAAGCAAAAUAUAUCCAAUUCUCUGUACCCAUUUAAGUGUCUUUUACCAUAUGUGAAAAUAGUUUCAUUUUGAAUUGUGAUUUUUUUUCUGCAUGAAAAUACAUGUUGGGAGAUAUCUCAGACUUGUUGAUUCUUCGAAAAUAUGGGGUGAGGAUAGAAGUUAAAAACCCCCUUGGGGUCAAGGUCCAAAUCCCAACCUGUCUGUUGUCAUCCCGAUUCGUAAUAUGCACUUGAGUUGCUGCCACUAGUUAACGAUUCAAGGGAGGCAUAGACUUAUUUCUUCUCUUGAUAUACCUGAAAAAUCAGAACUAAUUGUUAAUUGUUAAGCUGGAUACCUUUUGAUUUUUUUUUUUUUUUUCUGUUACUAGAACUGGAAAAUCUUUUGCAUUAGUAAGUAAUGUGCAGGGUUUCAUGUAAGCAUCUCUUUCCUCAAUUCAACUUUCAUUCAAGAACAUUUCACAUCAACCUUGCAGGUAUACAAUAUCCGCUGCUUAUGCAUCCUUUCUUGACAAAGAUCUCGGAUCUCUGUCCCCAGGAAAGCUUGCAGAUUUUGUUAUACUAUCUACAGAUUCAUGGGAUGAGUUCGCAGCUGAAGGAUCAGCUUCUAUCGAGGCAACGUAUACUGGUGGUAUACAGGCCUAUCCUUAAAGGUGCGUGCUUAUAUGCUAAAGAAUGUAUCAGAUCCAAAAGUGAAAACUCACUCCCCUACUCUAACCCUCUGGUUUUUAUCUUGGUAAUAGUUUCUUCUAUCUAUUUGCUGAAUUCAAAAGGCGACAUGCCUCGCCAGGCUAAGGAUCUCAUGUGGCACAGCUGUUGAACCAAUCUCAAAAUCCAAGAGGUACCUCUAACUCUAGUUCUAAGAUAAAUUUGAGCGUAGGGUUACCAUAUCUUAAAUUUUCUUUGACAUAAACACUGUUUGCUGGUCAAUAAUGCAUGUGAAUAUUAACAUGGAAAGCAUGUGGCUAUGGUCGUAAUAGUUCAAGGUUCAAUGCAUGCUAUGAAAUUCACAAUCAGUGCUAUAUUUUAGUUUCCAGCAGUAGCUUGGUUUUCAACUUUUCCAGUUUAGACACUGCCUUCAAUGAUGUUUAAUCAAUGUCAUUUUCAUUGCACUUUUUUUUUUUUUUUUUUUGCUUUGCUAAUUUCUCUAGUAAUUACCCAUUAGCAUACUUUUUGGGCUCAUCAAAUCAGCCCUAGUUAUUAACUGGAAUUUUGCCGAGGACUUUUGUAUUUGUUUGUCUGGAAAUUUCUAUUUAGCUACAGUAUCAGGCUUUUUUUAAAAAAUAAAAAUAUUAAAAAAUAUUGCCCUUUAGCUUUAAUGGUUUAGGUAUCAGAUUUAGGGAGUAGAUAAGAUUAUUUCUUACCUUGGCAUCCAUAUUAAUGUGGCCAAAAACUAAGAGAAAAAGGAAGGUUUUGUUUCAAUAGGAUUUCUUCUAAAUUCCUUAAAUGGAAAUAGUGAACAUCUACCUUGUUGGUAAAAAUUGAAUUAAUUUUUUUUUUUUUUAAAAAAAAAGCUAUUGAUGAUAAACCUAUGAUCGGAUUAGGGUUUUACCUCUUAGAUUUAAAAUCUUAAUUUUAGCCCUUCCUCUCCCAUUAAAGUAUAGAAUCAGUCAUAUCAUUCAAACUUUAUUCCAAAUUAUUAAAAGAAAAACGGGAUGAAUAAUAUUUAUCUACAUGACAUUCUAAAAGAGAGGUUCGUUUUCCAUUUAAACGGAUCACAUAUAAGGUAGGGGACUAGUUGUGAAUUGUGAGGUGUAAUUGUGAGUCAAAUUUUGUAUCUAUAAUGGUUUGGUAAUCGUAAAUAUUCAUAUGACAAAGUUGAAGUUUCAGAAAGAUUAGAUUCCAAAGUUAAAAAGUAGGCAAUAGUGUUGAAACUAAAAUGCAAAUAAUGUUUUUCUCUUUCUUUACUUAUUUUUCAUAUACUCCUAAAGUUUCAAAUUUUUUUUAAAAAUUAAUAGCUAUUAAUCCUGCUUAAAAUACCAUUUUGAUUAAUAAAUUUUAGAUUUCAUUUCAUUUAUUUUAGUUUCUAUAUUUCAAAAUGUUCGGAAAAAAAAAAGAGUUAAAUAGUAAUCGUUUUUUAAUGUAAAAAAAUACAUAUAUGAAUAUGAUUUUAAAAUUUACCGUGAGUGCUAAUAGAUUUUUUUCGGGAAAAGAAUCAACAAAAACAAUUAACUUGUAGGAAAUAAAUUUAAGAUAUGUAAUGAUUAUAUGAUUAAAUUUGAGUAAAUGAAAAUAUAUGAACUAAAAUAAAACAAGUUUGCAAGUACAGUAACUAUAAUUAGUAUUUAAUUAAUUUCAAUAAAAGAAAUUUUAAGAUUUAUGGAAAGUGUUCAAGCAAAAUUUUGAACAAAUGAAUUGGAUUGAAAUUUAAAAUAGAUGGUCUAAAAUGAUUUUUUUAACAACGAGUGAUAAAUACAAAAGUAAAUACUUACUAUUAUUAAUAAAAUUAUUUAAUGUUACAUUUGUGGCAUAGAAAUGUUGUUUAUUGUUUUUGUAAAAUAUCUUGAUGGUUUUCUAAUAUAGUUUCGAAGUAGCAAGUAGUGUGUUUUGACUUGACCUGUUCUUUUUUCCAAAUUAUUCUUUGAAAUUAUAUGGUGCCCAUCAAAUCGGGUAAACAGAGUAUCUGAAAUGAACUUUAUUGUCGUUUCUGAAACACAAAUUUCAUUGUUCAAUUAAAAAUCAAAACUAUAAGUUGGCUCUGUCUGUUUGAAAGAAAAGAAAUGAAAAAAAGAAAAAAAAAAAAUCUAGAUAUGAACUUUAUCUUUUUAGUGAGUGUCAAUCAGUUAGAUUUUUUUUUUUUAUGUGUCGAGAUAAAGAAGAAAAAAACGACUCUUGAUUAAUUUCCAAUGUGACAUGUUUGACACAAAAUAUGUGAUUGUUUAUCAAACUUUUGCUUGGUUGUUUUCCAUUGAGCUUUUAGAAUAAGCUUCCAACUUUAGGUUGGAGAGAUUUUUUGGAUCAUUUAAAAGCCGAUCAGAUUGGCUAUAAAAAAACCUUGAAUAGGUCUCCAACCCAAUUCAAUUCUCAAAUUUUGGGUUGGGGUGAAGUGGGUUUAGAGGAUUGUUUUGUUUGUCUUAUUAAAUUUAAAUAAUUUAAUUUAUCUACAAUACUUCAUAAGUAAAAUCUCAUAAAACUUGAAUGUUAAAUAUAAACUAUUCAUGAUAUAUAUUAUAAACUUAAACUUUAAACAAAGAUAAGCAUCAUAACCAUUGUAAAAGAAAAAUGUUAAAAAAGUUAAAACACUAAAAAAUAUAGCUCAACUCAAUUAAGUAACAGAAAAAAUUAACUCAAUCCAACCCAAAAACAAAAUUAAACCAACUUGACCUUUACAAUUUUGAUUGGAUAGUCCAUAUUAUAUGAAUUAUUGGGUCAUUUGAAUACUUUUUUUUCCAAAAAUAACAUUGAAGCGUUCUUAAAAACUACACAAAAUCACAAGUUGACACUCUUGUAUAAACACAGUCCUUUGAAACAAUUCUAUAAAGUUUUCACAAAAAGAAACUUGAAGUCGAAGGGCACCUUACAAUUUUCGUAAGCUUUUAAUUUCUUAAAACUAAAGCAUUAAGGUUAUGUUGAAUUUUUUUUUCCUCUUUUAAUUGGGUUUGUUUUCUCGCCAUUUUUUUUUAAAGAAACAUUUAAAUUAUAAAUUACUUUUUUUAAAAAAAACAGACAGGUUUUUAAUUAAAUUUUAUAUUUAUAUAUGAAAAAUAAAUUUAUAAAUACACCCUUUUCACCAAUAUAUUCAUUUGUUCUUUUCAACAAACUUUUUGGUUAGAUAAAUAUUAAAGUCUAAACAGAGGAGUCUUUUUAAGACGUAUUUCUUAUUUGAAGCUUAGCUAAGGAUUCAAUUUUAAUAGAGAUGAAUGUAUUAAAAAAGCAAGUUUGCUUUUUUAGAAGUCUAGAAAAUGAAAAUUAUAUGUUAUCAAAGAAGGCCAAAUCAUUGUCAACUUAGUUGAUGAGUACAAUUUUUAGAGGGGAAGAAAAGGUAAAGGGUGGUAUGUAGUAGUGGUAGGAUUAGUUUAGAUGAAAACAGAAAAAAGAAACAAAAGAAUAGUGUUGGGAUUAUUAGGAAGAGCGAAGACCUAAAGAGUUGGAGAAGUAGAAUAGGUGGUGGUUAGGUUAGUGUUGGUAUGGUACAUUAUUUCAGUCUUAGCCCAUUGGCAUUUUGCUGUUGAAAUUUGAAAAAAUAUAUAUAUGGUUGGUUUUGAUUUGGACUAUUAUUAUUCCUCAACCCUAAACCCACUUCUUUUUUACCUUUGAAUUUACUUCUAUAUGCCUAUUCCCUUAGCUUUAUACUAACUUUUACCCUACUCUCCUCUCUUUUUCUAUCACUAUCUCUACCUAGUUUCAUUACCUAUUUUCUUUUCUUCCAAUCUAUACCUAUCUUGAUAUAUAUAUAUAUAUAGUCUAUAAUCAAAUCAAAGUUUUCAUUUUUGUCUUUCUUUUUUACUUCCGUUUUCUCUUCAUUUUCAACAUUCUUGAUUGAAACCUUGACCAAUGGUUUGGAGAGAGAAUAGGUGGAUGAAAAUGAUGUAGUCGGAUAUAAAAUCUUUUUUGUUGCAUACUUAUCUUUGUUAUCCUAUUUCAUGGCCUUGUUUAUAAAAAUGCGUUCUGUUAGCGUUAACACAUCAUAUGUGAAACAUGUAGGGUUGGAUUGUUAGUUUAGUUUUUGUAACUUCCAUAUUUGUGUUUAGUUGAUAUUUGAACUUUAUAACAAAAAAAAAAAAAAUUCUUAAAUCCAUAUCUAAACGUUCCUAAUCUUUACAAAUUUUCUUUUUAAUUCAUAAAUCUACUAGACACAAACUUAAAAAAACAGUCUCAAUAAAUGGAAUAAUCCAUGGUAGCUCGAACUAUCAUACGUGUUGUUUUGUAAAAUCAAUCAAGGCACAUGUAAGUUAGUCCGAGCAAUAUCAAUAAAAAAAGAAAAAAAAGAAGAAAAACAAGACACGAAAUUAAAAGGUUGAAUCCGUGAGUUGCAAAUAGUACUUUUAGAAGUAAAAAGUAGUAAAAUUGCUAAUAUAGGAUCUUAAGAAUGGAUAGUAUAUUCAUCUUUCUCGAUUAGAAAGGCAUUCAAAAGUUUGGGGAAAUGGCACUUAAACCACUUCCUCCUCAAGAUAUACACACAUAUUAUAAGAAUUUAAUGAUUGGAUUAGAUUUUUCAACCACCGAACUAAAUUAAUAAUUUGAACUUUCAGAAGAAAAAAAAAACUAAAUAAUAGCUUCAAAACUAAUUCAAAUUGGGAUUACUUUCCCAUCAAUUAAUCAUUAUUAAUAGAAUUAUAUUUUAUAUUAAACCAAUUCCCCUUGAACCCAUUUGAAAAUUUAUGUAUAUUGAUUUCAUGGUUGCUGCUAAAAUUCUUGGUCGCAAUCAAUGUUCUGCACCCCUCAUCACCGGGGAUACGGUGGGUUCCUCUUUUUAUUUAUUUAAAAAUACUAAUAUUUUUUAAAAUAAUAAAAUAAAUUAAAAUAUUUACUCUUUUAUCAACCUCACUCUAGAAGUAUAUCAUUAGCUAUCAAAUGUAUCCAAUAUUUAUUAUUUAGAAUAUGAAUGUUUGCUAUAACUUAUAAAUAUUUUGUCAAAUUUGUUAUUUUUGACAAUUUUUUUUUAAAAAAAUAUUAUUUUAUUGUGAGUUAAAAGUAGAUAAAUUUGAAAACAUAGGGAUACAAUUUGUAUGCAUUAAAUUAGUUGUAUUUGGUUUUGUGAACUUAUAAAAUGAAAUUAGUGUAAUUUCAAAAUUGUGAUAUAGGCUAGAGGUGGAGCCUUCUUAAUUUGAAACUAAUAAAUGUUGGGUGGAGAGGGAGGAGGGAGGAGGGAGGAGGGAGGAGGUAGGAGGUAGGAUGGGGUUAACCCUUUGUUAUCAAAUCACUCUAAACUCUAAAUUCUAAACAUGAAUUUGGUUGAUUUUUUCUUUUUCCAUUUUCAAAAGAGGUUUAAAAAAAGUGUUCAAAGUUUCUAUUAUAUUUCCAUUCAUAUCUUUUAUAUUUGAAAUCGACGUUGUCAUUAUUUUUAUAAUCGAAUAAUCACAAAUUAUUGAAACAUUAAUACUAAUAAUCUAAAAAUAUCUUCUAUGCUAGGGAGAGAAAAAUACUUUGUUGUUUUCACAUCUUAAUCGUACAAUAUAAUUUUGUCACUCCUAUUAGUCUAUACUAUUUGAGAUGUCAUCAUUUUUCUAUUUGUUUACCUAAAGAUGUCUAUUCAAUCUAAACUUUAAUUAUAGUAACAAUAACUUCAGGUUCUUUAUUUAAGUUCUUAAUUAAUGAUUAGUUUUAUUGCUUAGAACAAUUUUAGCAAUGAAUUUGCAUCUUCAUAAAUUUUUUUAUGUUUAUUUAAUUUUGGUUCAAAUAGGGUUUUCAUACUUAAACUUGAUCUUAUAUUUUCAUAUUUUGUCUUGAAUGUUUAAAUUUGUUUUGUUUCUUAGUCCCUUUUAAAUGUUUUUUUUCCCGUAAGUUUUAGACACAUUGCUUGUUUUUAAAAAUCUUUUACCCAAAUAUAAAAACAAAAAAUGUGGCAUCGUUUGAUUGUUUCCCUGCAUGACAUUUAUGGUUUUAGGGCAUCAAUUUUUUUCAGUAGAAUUUCUUUAAUUAAAGUUCUCACCCAUCAUAUUUCUUUCUAAAAAAAAUUACAUUUUUAAAUAUAACAAAAUGAAUCAAAAUAUUUAUAAAAUAUAAUGAAUUUUUAUAUCUAUAUUUGACAGACUAUACAUACGUUGUUGAUAAUGAUGGAUAGAAAUUUAUUAAUUUAUUAAUAUGGUUAUGUCGAAUCAGUUGAUGAUAUAUGGAUUAAUGUGUAAUGUGGUUAAUUCCCUAAGUAGAAAUUUAUAAAUAGAAAAGAAAAAAUCAAUAAGGCUUUCUUUCAAGUUAAUUACUCGUUUGAAACGUUUUCGGUUUAUUAGUAAAGAAUCCAUUAUGAGUUGGAAUCACUUUCGGUAAAAUAAUAAGAAAUUGCAGAAGCUUAUUAUAUAUGCUUCUCUCUGAAAAUUCUUUUGGGAUUGUGUAUGGAAUCUCUACUUUUUGGUUUAAAAUAAAUAAACAAACCACAUAGCCUUAAUAAGAUGAAAACUCAUAAUUGAAAAUUCACUUUACAAUAUUUGAGGUAUAAAUAAAUAAAUAAUUGGGUAAAAACGGUGCUUAAAAUUAUAAUUUUAGUAAAGGUAUAAAUUAAAAAAAAAAAAAAAAAAAAAAGAAGAAAAAUCAUGAAAAUGAAAGCGGUUAAUUGUUAUUGAAGAAGAAGAAUCCAAGUAGUUUGAUAUUAUAUAUUGUAGCAAUGAGAAUUAAGAAAAAAAAAAAAAAAGAUGUUAUGGAGUAAUUAUUAUGUAAUAAAAAUGUGCCCAUUCCUCCACAAGUGACCCAUAAGAAAAGAAAAAAAAAAGAAAAAGGGAUGCUCUUAGAGUUAGAGGGUGGUAUGUAAAAAAGGUAAAGAGAAGUAAGUUAAAUUAUAAUAUAUAUGUAUAUAGGGAUAAUAGGGGGGCUAUGGUUGUAGAGUUGUAGGGUUCCAUUAUAGAGGUUUAGGUGUGGUCCAAAGUCUAUAUUGAGAGUUGAUAGGGUGACACACUGUUUGGGUAACAUUUGGAUGAAUGUAGGUUUGCUCAUAACCACACUUUCCAUUCACUCUCUCCUUUUCUUCUUCUUCUUCUUCUUCCUCCUCCUCCUUAAUUACUUUUUCUUUAUAACAAUUAACUCAUGUGUUUUCAGCCAUGCCAUCUGUCUUUUCUUUUUUUCCUUUUUUUCCUUUUUUUUUAUUUCUAACCUCUCCCCACUUCUCUAAUUAUUUCACCAUUCAUUUUUUUUAAUACACUAAAUCAAAUCAUUAUCAUAUUUUAUCUAAAACAUGUCUACGUUCCUUUAUUUUAUUUUAUCACGUUUAUUUUAUUUUAUCACGUUUCAAACAACGAGUAUAAGACAUUAACAGAUCUAAUUUAUGAAAAUGGUGUAUUUUGGAUAUUUAAUUAUUUACGAUUGAAAAUAAGUACGUGAUAUAAACUCUUUUUAACUCUAGAAGUGCUACUAUUAUAUUUUUGUAAUAUUCUUUCUUGAUGUAACGAACGUCGCUAACCUAUUAUUGUUGAUGAUUUAUGUAAAUCCAUGUGUCGAUUAUCUUCUAUUUUACAUUUUUUUUUUUUUUUUUGUAUUUCUUGUUUGUUAAUUUCAUUACAAAAACAGUUAGUAUAUAUCAAUUAAACUUUGUAUUUAUAAGAUAAGAAAGAAUAUAAUGGUUUUUGAAACUUUGAAUGUACAAUAUAUGUAUAGAUAUUAGAUGGUUUAUUAGUAUAGAAUUAUUAUACUUUUUAUAUUGAAAUUAAUAGUAAACAUGAUGUUAACAUGGUACUAAAUACAUUACAG
rnacentral:lncRNA from 1 species